UAACAAGAAUUCAUUUAAAACAUGCAUGACAUAAGGAAACCAUGGAAAAACUCCUUUUCACAUAAGACUCCAAAACAUGAACCAAGCUUCUAGGAACUCUUUGUUUUAGGCUUGAGUAAGCACAUAUAGAAGUAGGUAAGGAUAUCAACACUUCUCAACAACUUCACUACUCAACAUACCAUCCCCCACUUAAGGGUAAACCCAACUAAGGUCAACCUUAACAUCUCAUAAAAAUCUCAAUGAAGAUACCACCAAUCUUACCAAAACCAUUCUUACCCAACUCUUUAAUUCACUAAACCUCUUGUAAUGAAAACAUCCUUCAAGCCUAACUCAUAAACAUCAACCACACUUAAAGACCUUAUCAUCUAACCACAUAUUUCCCCCACUUAGGAGAAACUCUUACUAGUUCUUUCAAAUUCACCUCCUUCCAUCCUAAGGUCGGAUCAAAACAACACUAGGCUUUUAUACUCAUUACACCUAGCAUUUCUAAAUCACCACACAUUUCACAAAUUCCUUCAACACAUCACAAAACUUCCUCAUGACUAAGCCGGAUACUACCAACAACACGCAUAACCAAAGGAAUCCCAUUCAUACUAAAGUCAUCACCACAAUCUUUCACCUCACACCUACUAAGUCACCAAGUCAUAGUUGGCAUCACAACCAACAUUCUCUCUCCCUCAACCCUUGCAACAUUAAAACUUCCUCAAAGGUAACACCCAAAUGACCAUCACAUACGGAACAAGGGAAGACAUUAUAGAGAGAAACUUGCGAUGGUUCUUAUCGUAAAGAUGGAGAGGACGAAUAACCUUGUGAUGGUUCCUAUUAUGAUGAUAGAGAGGAUGUAGAUCCUUUUGAUUACUCUUAUGAUAAUGAUGGAGUAUGUGAGUCCCAUUUUGAGAAUGAAGAAGUGAGGUAUAAUAUUUCUCCUAUAUACACCUUAUAAGAAUUAUGGUGAGAAUUCCCAUAAGACUUGUGAAGAUUGGUAUUCUUCAUCUUGUGGUAUUCUUUAUCCUAGUUGAAGUGGUGUGUUUGGUUAUGCUAGUUCAAGUCAAAGUAAUUCAGCGGGAAGAAAAAAGCGUGCAUCUCCAAUAUCCAGGGAUACUGCAUCAUAUACUUCUCAUUACAAUGCACAAUUAUUGGUUUAUAGGAACCAAAACAAAUAUGGGAAGAUGUUCUAUGGGUGUCAAUUCAAAAAAGCCCAUUCUUCCUAUUUUGGAAGGAAAGUGUCAUACUAGGCCAAUCUUGAGUGAAAGUGGCAAUAUGAGAAGAAUUUCCAAAUUCAUGAUUUGGUUGAUGUUGAAAAAUUCAUGUAUGCCAUUGAAAACAUUAUUGGGAUUACAUUGAGUCAGUGGAAAUCCAUGAAUAUAGUCAAAGGAGUGUUGGUUACUUUGAAAGUCCAAUAUAGGAUGAUUUCAAAAGGGCUGUCUAGUAUGUGCCAGAGAGGUAUAUACAAGAACAACACACAAAGCUUUAUAAUGUUGACCUGAGAAGACAAGCUCUUAAAAUAAAUAUUAACAUUUGUGAAACUGUAUCAAAUUCUUUUGUCUUUGAUGAUUUGUGUAGUCUAAACUAUAUCACACCAUCUACAAUAGACUACUUAAGAGGCUACCUCAAAUACCAAAGGUGUUAAUUAUACACCAUGGAGGGAUAUAAGGUUACAAAAUGUAUAAAGGCCUCUUUCACACGUGAUGGAUAAUAUGAGAAGGUUUGGUGUGCUAUAACAACAAUGGACUUUUGUCAAUUAUGUUUGGGAGCCAAAUUUUUUAACAAAUAGAGUGUUCCGAAUGAGCAAAAUGGUCCAAGCAUGUUCUGGAUCAAUGGUGAACACAUAUAUUCGUCCUCCCAAGGUGAAAAAUGUAAUACCCCGGAAACUAGUAGUCUUAACUAGAACUUGACGUAAGUGUUAAAGUCGUAAAAUUUGCUUCUCGUACUUAGAAUGAAGGGUUUAGGGGUUUAACGUCAAGGUACGACUCCCCAAGGACUAACCAAGGGUCCUUGAGGAGGACCAUAGAACAAACCUCCAAACUACCCCAAUAUAGUGGACCCACAAAUGGGACCUAUGCCACUUAGGGUGGUCCACACUACGUAAGUAGAGCCUCGUGGGUCAAGGCCAGGCGAAGGAGAUGCAGACCCCAACCCACACCCCACCAGUACGGUCUGUGGGUCAGUCCAUGCCCCGUGGGUGGGGGUCGUGGAUGGAGACCUAUGGACUGUCUUAGGGGCGAUUAAGACUAGUGUUGUUUAGGUAAUUUCCUUUUUAAUUAGUAUUAAAUGGAGUCAUUUUGUAUUGUUUUAAUACACCUAUAUAACUGUUUUUAAGUCAUUAACCAACCCAUUCACUUUAUAAAAUCCCAAAACCCAAAUCCCAAAUCCCAAAUCCACAACCAACUUUCCCCAAAUAAACUCUCCCUAGAACUCCAAGGAAAAAGAAGAAUAAAAGUAAAGCUAGGGUUAAAGAAUCAAGUUUUUCCCCUCAAAUCCGUGGUAAAUCUUCAAUAAGGUAUGGUAGCUCUUCAUCCAUAGGUAGUCUUCGCCCAUGGAGCCUCUUCAAAACCCUAAUUUCAAAGCUAGAAAACCCAAAAGCUAGGGUUUGACUUCAAUCUCAUGGAUUUCUUUCAAAUUCGUUUUUAAUGAUUGGAUUAUGAUUGUUUAUGGAUAUAUUGAUGAUUUUAUAUGAUUUUAAUGUUAAUUCUUCAAGAAUCCAUGAAUUCCCCUAUUUUUCUAAAUUGGGUCUCAAAGUGUGGGUAUUGAUUGAUACAAGUAGAAUGUUAUAGAAUUAUGAAUGUAAAGAAUUGAUUACUUGAAUUAUGUAGUAAUUGAGGAAUUCCUAUGGUUUUUAUGUUGAAUUUCCCCAAGAACCAAUGAAAUCCCCAUAUCCCCAAUUUAUAAACUUGUGAUCUGAGAGAAUUGUAGAAAGAUGAAUAUCAUGAGUAUGUGCUUGUAGUAAUUGAACUAUUUGAAUCAUGUUAUUAUCCAUGUCUAAUGUAGUAAUUCUAGAUGUGUUGACGAAUAAUGAUAUAUGGUCCUUGAAGGGAAAUUUAUGAGAAUUAUGCAUGACUAUGGGAUAUAUAUAAAUGCUUUAUGAAUACUUUGAGAGUAAAGUGAUUAUGACUAUGAUGUAAUGGUGGCUUUGUUGAAAGGCUAUUCUCACACACACACACACUUAUGAAUGAAGUUUCUAUGAUUAUUCUAAUGAUGAUGUGUUGAUUGAAAGGCAAUUCUCAAUUAUUCACUUUUGAAUGAAUAUAACAUGUUGUGAAAGGUUUUCACAUAAAAUGAUGUACCUUAAAUCUGUAGGCUAAAGGCAUCCCUUUCAUGUGUAAUUAACACUACAAGAAAACUGCUUAAUAAAGACCAAUAUUUAGGGACAGGGUUAUUAUUGGGUCCCUAAAAGUAUACUUAUUAAGACGACUUUUUUUUCUGGUCUUGAAUUCCCUUUUUUAUUUUUCGAGUUAGCGAAGAGUCAAAAUCUGGUUCCAAAUUACAUAUACAUCUCGUCCCUAAAUGGUAAAUUUAUUUACAAAUCGCUCCUCCUUUAUAUAAUAAAACCCUACCCUCUCUAUCCAUUUAUAAUAAAACAUUUAAAUACCUAAAAAUGGACUCUUCAUCUUUGAAAGUCUGAAGUUUCAACAGGUAUCUAUCUAAAUGGCUGAAGAUUCACGAAUCGAAUUACAAGAAAUGUCUAUCAGAAUAGGUUUGUCUAUUUUCUCCGUCUUCUUAUUUUUGGGUUUAAAUCAAGAAUUUUUUUUCUGGCUAAACCUUUGAUUGUUGAAAUUGAUAGUCUUUGAAACUCAUUCUUCUUAAUACUAAUCGUUAUGGCAUGAAGUCUAUAACUUGGCGUGUUGGACGUGCUGUGAAGAAUGGUAGGUUAGAUAUUAAAAAGGGCUUUUAGCGGAAUGAGAAUUUUGGGAAUGAAAAUGUCUCCUUGUCAUUGUUUGGUUCGUAUGAGUAAAUAAUUUUAGGGAACAAAAGUAUUUUUUUUUAGAAAUAUACUUUAAGAUACAAGUAUGAGGUCUUACGUUUUUGGGAUGGUGAGCAAGUAUACUCGGAACUAAGAAAAUAAAAUUAUAAAUUUUCUUUGAUAUGUUCAAAGUUAUAAACUAUUUCAUUUGCAAUCUUGCACCAAGGUUUUGUAAUUUUUUCCUUAAAAAGUAAAAACGUGAGACAAAUAAACAGAGGAAGUAAAUAUGAGAGAUUAGUCUUCCAGAAACAUUUUUGGAUGGCCAAGAAAACAUGGGUUGGGCUAUAAUUGUGAGUUUUGCUAUGAGGUGAAUUGGUUGAAUUCUAAUACAUUAGGUUUUCUAGUUUGGUUACCUUGACUUAUUUAAAAAAAAAAAUCAAGCAGACAAUUUAUUUAUACUACUCACUUUAACUAUUUUGUUGUCCUAGGAAACAAGAUUACUUUAUGAGAACCUGUAGAUGAAUGAUCUUGAGUUGUUGACUUGGUUGAAUUUUUCUUGGUAUGGAUGUACACAUUUGGAGACUCUUGUAUUUCUUUAUUGUAUGUUCUCUUUAAGCAUUGCAGCUAGCUUAACGAAUCUUACAGCUAGAACUUGAUAAAAAUGGAUAGAAAUAGAAAAUCUGAAAAAGAUAAAUAAGUAUUGACAGGACGUUUGCAAAGAUAUUUUAAGAGAAAGAGCUUGUGUUUUAUCCACUUUAGCCUCUACAAUGAGAUGAGAAUGAAGCACAUCAAUGGCUGAGAGAGCUUCUAGAAGUGUUAGCAUUGAGUUUGUAAGUUUGAUAUCACUAGUUCUAGUCUUUUUUUUUGUAAGCUAUUCUUCUAUGUUUGUUUUUCCUUUAAUUAGUUAAUGUUAUUUUAGUUCCCCUAUAAGUUAAUUUUAGUGUAUAAUGAUUUUAAUUUAUAACAAUGUUUCACCCUGUUGAACUUGCUUUGUUUAAUAGUGAAGAAUAGGGGAUAGGGAAUAUGGAUAACUCUAAGACUGACAUCGUUUCUAAGAUAUAUAUGUUGUGACAUUAUUUUUGCUUCAAGUAACAAACUUAUUUAAUUGCAUUGUUACUGUACCUUUCUAUUCAUUCGAGUUUUUCUUGGUAUAUGACACAAAAAAAACCAAGUCCUCUCCAUUUACAUUCAAAAGUACUUUUAAUGUUAGUCCGAUUGGAUGAAAAUAGCGCUCCCAAAUGUUGUUAUGUUGUAGGGGUCUAUGCGAGAUCUCUUUAAGUAAUUGUUGGGUACCUUUCCUUAGUAUCUUGUGUAGACUGUUAUCUUUCAAGUAGGUGAAUCAUUUAAAACUCUGUAAUAUAAUUUGAGAUUCUAUCAUUGUCUAAUUAGUUUAACAUUAACAAAGAAGAGAUUCUUGAGUUCUUUUGCUAUACUUUCUUGAACCAAUUUGAAAAGUUUUGAUACUUAGUUGUAGCUAAUAGUCGAAGAAGAAACUAUUAGAGUUGUCCAAUUCAUCUGCUUGAGGUGAUGGUUACUUGUAUGGAAAUUAAAAAAAUUGAAAAACUAUCCUCUAUUUACUCUUAAUAUAUUUAAGAUUCUUGAUUUAUGUUAUCCUCUGUUACUGCACUUACAGAUGCCAUAUAUGGUGUAGAUUUGCAAAGAUCUCUUUAAUUGACUAUCCAAGCCACUUGCUGAAAUCGCAAGAAUUUUUUGAUGUCAUUGUCUAAACAUCUUUCAAAUACUUCAUUAUGAAUGUGGACUCUUUAGCUAUUUCAGUUGAUCUUAUCAGUAGGAAAGAUUGCUCCUAAAUUUCAUGACGAGCUCUUGAAAAUGAUGAUGUUGAAGAUAAAAAUGUGUAUGCAUCAGGUUAUGUCAUUUUCUUUUUACGGUAAAGUUAGAUGUUAUAAAUAAAUAAAUACCAAUCAUUUUCUUUUGCUCAUCCAAUAUUUCUGAUCUAAUAAUUAGUGCACCGCAAUAAGUAGUUUUUCUAUUUUUCUCUUCUUAACAGCGAUCAUAAUAUACAUGGACAACCCAUUGUGUUCUGCAACAUUUGCAAAGAGUUUCGAGGCAAGUACCUUCUUCGUGAUUAGUUACUUUGUUAUCUUUUACCUUACUGAUUUUUUUGAUGUAUCGAGCUAAUUAUUGAGUAACUUGAAACAACUAGAAAUUACUAUUUGACCUUUUGAAAUAGAAAGACAAGGUAAGAUUUACUUCCACAUCUUUUUAAUAUUUAUAGGAGCUGCAACUUUCUUUAAUAAUGUGGAAAAUGAUAUAUGGAGCUUGAACUUUCAAUAUCUAUAAUGAGCUUAAACUCUUCUUUCCUUAGUAUGUUUUAUAGAACUAGUAAAGCAUGUGUAGGUCCAAUUUACAAGAUGAUACUUUUAGGACAGUGAAGAUGAAAUAAGAUUCAGCAAUUUGAACUCUUUAUUUUUUGGUUUGAGGCAUCCAAACUUGCUUACUUCGAGAAUUUAUUAUACAUUCUUUACAUGGUUAAAUCAUUGUUAAAAUAAAAUAAGUUAGUCCUUGUGCUGUGGAAACUGGACUCCUCUUUGUAAGAACUUGCUUAAUUAAAGUUGCACAUCAAGAGCCUUUGCAUUCUGCAUAAAGCAUCUGAAAUAAACAUGUUUGUGUAUCAUCUUGGUUGUCAACAAAUUAGCUCCUUUGAUUGUAACAUUAAAUUUAGAACACAAUGGUCAAAUUUUGUAUGUUCUUGACCAUUGCAGGUGCAUUGAACUACUGAGAUUCAUCAACACACUGCUGACACAACAAUGGCGAUAAGUGUAAUAAAAGAUACUAGGCCUUCACACUCUGGUUGGACUUUGGCAAUUGCUAAACAUACAGUAGGCAAAUAGGGAUUUCACUCCACUUCUAGAAGGUUGGAUUUGCAUGAAGCUCAUUUCUCCUCAAUGGCUUGACAAAAAUGGACACGAAAUCGCUUGAAAUUGUUGUUGUACCUGGCACUUUACAGACAGCGGAAUCGAUGGUUCUGGAACUAAAAGGAACAUAGGAAGUUGGAAAGGACAACAAGACAUCAACUAUUUAUACAUUUAUAUUAUUGAUAGAGGAUGUUAGUUUUUUCGUGAAGUAGGUGUGUAAAUUUUGACAUGAUUGAUGUAUUAUAAUGUGUAUUUGUAUACAUUUAUAUAUGACAGGAGAUUAUGAUAAUUUUAUAUAUAUAUGCAUUUGAUUAUUGCUAUUAAAAAUUGUAUUAUAUAUAUAUAGGGACCACAAUUUACUGGUCCUAAAAGCCCACUAAACUGGUCUUAAUUAUAUGCAAGCACCAGUAAAUAUAGUCCAUAAAAAUAUUUUUCUGGACCAGGUUCUUGCUAGUAGGGACGAGAAAUACAGUCCUAAAAACAUUUUUGGGACCAGUUUUAUACCGGUUGUAGAAACAAUUUAAGGACCAGCUAUUUCAUCCCGUCCGAAAUGACCUAUAGCGACAGAGGCUACAGGGACGGGGUGGCGACCAGACUUUUCCGUCUCUAUUGACUUUUAGGGACCGGAACCUCACUUUUAGGGACCAAUUUUCCCUUCUCUAUUGAGCGUUUUUGUUGUAGUGUAAAGAGCUAUCUUGAAUGAUGUACCUUGAAACGGUAGGCUAAGGGCAUCCCUUUCAUGUGUAAUUAAAAGUUAUCUUGAUUAAUACACCUUGAAUAGGUAGGACAAUUGCAUCCCCUUCAUAAGUGACUAAUGAAUUAUUCUAAGGAUUUUCCUUGUAUCGGUAGGCCAAUGGCAUCCCUUUCAUGAGUAAUGAUGUUAAUAGAGAAUUAACUAUUUCGUGGGAAUUUAAUGCUUAGUACCGAGUGGAUAUUGUGAGGUGGAAACUCUCCCUAUGUCUGGCCGAGUUUCUAAUAACAACCUCCUUAUCCCAUAACUAUGUGCCCCCAUAGGUUAUUUAGCUAGUGGAUCCACCUAAAAGCUAAUACAUGUUAGUUCUACCUUAGGCAACUAGGACACCUCUUUUCGGUGUGGGGUAUGACACAGGAUUCCAUGUUAAGCUCACAUGGUAUAUGUCGGUUACGACUUAUUCCCACUAUGAACAAGAAGAUGAAUUAUGAACUAUGGUUACUCAAGAAGCACUACUUAGUGUGGAUGGGGGUAUGGGACUUCAUCCAUGCAUUGCACAAGUAGGCUUUGAGAGUUGUUAGGGUGUGUUCCUUCUAUGUCAUGAUGGCUUAUGAAAUGAAGGAUGCUUAAUAUAGAUUGUUGCUAAGAGUUACUUUCCUUGAUAUGACCUAGUAAAUAUGAAGGUUUCCUUGUCUCUGAGUAUUAACAAAAGAUGAGAUCAAAGAAUGAUAAGUAUGUUUAUGGUGGCCUAAAAGUGGUACUUAGUAUAGAUGGAAUUAUGAGAUCUUUAUCUAUGCAUUGCACAAAUAUAACUUAGGUUUACUUAUGAGAUGGUUACAUUAUGCUAUGAUGAUUUAUAUGUUGGAUAUGCUUAUGACUUAUGAUUUUACACUAAUGUGCAUGAUGAUUCUCAAACUUAGUAAAGUGCAUGCUUUUCAACUAAAAUGUCCUUUUUAGCAUGUUUUCAAGGUUUUUAUGCAUGGCUAUCAUACUUAGUGCAUUUUGUACUAACCCAUAUUUUCUACAUUUUCUACAAAAGUGUAGGGCUUGGAGAUGUUGACUUCCAUCCUCGUGGCUAGGUUCAUAGUAGAUCAAGAAGAGAAGUUGUGGUUAGUCCUCAUAGCAUGCGAGGGCUUGACCACCAUGUCCUUUUAGUCUUUCUUUUAUUUUUUAAACUUUUGUAUGGGAUGCGUCCCAAAGUUUUAGUUUAAAUAGUGAUAGAUGAUUUGAGACAAAGUGUAGACUUCCGCUUGUUUUUAUAAAAGACUUCGACUGUAAAGAUGUUUUUUUUAAAUAUCUGCACCAUUUCCUAUUAUCUUAUGUUAUGAUAUGCUUAGACGCUUGUAUGAGGAUUUUCAUAGUCUUGUAUGCCUUGUCACAUCUAGGGGGUACUCCUAGGUCGUGACAAACUUGGUAUCAGAGCACAAGGUUUUGGAAUGGUUCUAGGACGUCUCAAACCACCUCUAGUAUAGUCUUAUUCAUAGUGUGAAGCGCGCCACAUUUACGUAUAGGAGGCUAUUGGAUGAUUAGGAAAUCUCAGUUCUUCAUUCUCUAAGUAGUGCGAUAGAGUUUAACUCUAUAAUGUCUCUCUCUUACUCCUUAUUCGAUGGUCUUCAGGAUAUGACCACUUGAAGCGCUCAUGCUGCAAGGAUCGAGGGAGAAAAGGUUGGUAGUGAUGCCAAUUAUGGCUAUGUGACUAGAUAGGACUUAAUAUGAUAGAUUUAGAUGAUAUCUUUUGGUAUAAAUGGGUUAUUAUGGUUAUGUGUGUUUGUUGGUAGAACCCUACUUAGUCAUGAUGAGUUUUUGGGUGUGUUGGAGGAUUUGAUGAAUAGGGUGUUUAAGUGAUCCCUAGAGGUGUUGAGUGAGUAGACUCCUUUAAAAUAGGGUAUAUGUGUAAUUCACCAUGGUUUAGAAUCAUCUUGUGUCGUGGAUGUGAAGGAUUAGUGUUAACAUGGGCCGAUCUUAGAGUUGAAAAAAAUGGUGCUUAGAAAAGUCCGUAUAGGCUUAUUCCCUAGGGGGAGAUGAUUUGCUUAGAUGGCAAGGCCGUGGAGUGUUCUAGAUGUUUAUGAUUUGGGAUGGUUUGAAUUCUCACCUUGAGAGGUAUGGUGGGUUUGAGAAGUAUAGUCCCGAUUGGGUAGGCUCAUAUGAGAUCUUGAGUGGUGUUGGUAAGGUUACUUGUGGACUAGAAUUUCUUAAGGAGAAUAUCUCUAAUGUAGAAGUACCGGUAGAGGUCUUAGACCUGCAAGUUAAGAAAGAGAAGAAUGAGGAAAUUGCUUUCAUGAAAGUGUGAAGGAGUGGUCUUUUGAGUGAGGGCUGAAGGUGAGGGUGCUACUUGGGAGGCCAACGGCCAAUAGGAUGUCUCGAUAUCCUUAUCUUUUCCUUGUAUUCCUCCUUUAGCUUGAGAUGAUAAGUUUCCCUUGACUUGUUUAAUGAUUGUGGAGUCUUGGGUGUUGUAUGAGUUCCAUAAUUUCUUUGUGUUAUAUAUGUCUUGAUGAAAUUCAUGUUUAGCAAGAAAAUGAGUUUUCAUGAUGUUCCUCAUGUUGUUGUGCAUUUAGUAUGAAUUGCCUAUAUGCUUCAUGAGAUGAAUUGUCGAACAUGCGUUCGUAUGCUUUUGAGAGUAAUUGCAUAAUUUGCUUCAUAUUAUUGAGUUGAGCAUGCUUUGAGUUGGAGAAGGUAGUUCCUCCUAUGAAUGUUGAAAUAUUGAGCUUUCAUGCAUAAUGGGUUACUAGAUGUAGUUCCUACUUGAUUGUGUUGCAUUAAGUAUGUUGAGAUGGAGUUGAUGUUUCCUCCUUUGAAUUAUGCAUUAUUUUGAUGUUUCAUGCAUGAUAGGGCUGGUAGUCUUUAGUCUUUAAUUCCAUAAGGUGUCGAGAUUGACAUUCGAGGACGAAUGUUCCCAAGGGGGAGAUAAUGUAACACCCUGGAAAUUAGUAGGCUUAAAUAGAGCUUGUUAUAAGUGUUAAAGUCGUAAAAUUUGCUUCUCAUACUUAGAACUAAGGGUUUAGGGGUUUAACGUCAAGGUACGACUCCCAAACACCUAACCAAGGGUCCUUGAGGAGGACGCUAUAACAAACCUCCAAACUGCCCCAAACCUGUGGACCCACGGAUGGGACCUACGCACCGUAGGGUGGUCCAUGCUCUGUGGGUAGAGCCUCGUGGAUCAAGGCCAGGUCAUGGAGUAGUAGAAUCCAACCCACGCCCUACCAGUAUGGGGUCAAUCCAUGCCCCAUGGGUGGGGGUCGUGGAUGGGGACAUGUGGACUGUCUUAGGGGCGAUUAAGGCUAGGGUUGUUUAGAUAAUUUCGUUUUUAAUUAGUAUUAAGUGGAGUCAUUUUGUAUUGCUUUAAUACACUUAUAUAAUUGUUUUUAAGUCAUUACCCAACCCAUUAACUUCAUAAAAUCCCAAAACCCAAAUCCCUUACCAACAUUCCCGAAAUAAACUCUCUCUAGAACUCUAAGGAAGAAGAAGAAGAAGAAAAGUGAAGCUAGGGUUGAAGAAUCAAGCUUUUCUCCUAAAAUUCAUGGUAAAUCUUCAAUAAGGUAUGGUAGCUCUUCAUCCUUGGGUAGCCUUCACCCAUGGAGCCCCUUCAAAACCCUAAUUUCAAAGCUAGAAAGCCCAAAAGCUAGAAAGCCCAAAAGCUAGGGUUUAACUUCAAUCUCAUGGAUUCCUUUCAAAUUCAUUUUUAAUGAUUGGAUUAUGAUUUUUUAUGGAUAUAUUGAUGAUUUUAUAUGAUUUUAAGUAGAAUUCCUCAAGAAUCCAAGAAUUCCCCUAUUUUUUCAAAUUGGAUCUUAAAGUGUUGGUAUUGACUAAUACAAGUAGAAUGUUAUAAAAUUAUCAAUGUAAAGAAUUGAUUACUUGAAUUAUGUAGUAAUUGAGGAAUUACUAUGGUUUUUAUGUUGAAUUUCCCCCAAGAACCCAUGAAAUCCCCAUAUCCCCAAUUUAUGAACUUGUGAUGUGAGAGAAUUGUAGAAAGAUGAAUAUCAUGAGAAUGUGCUUUAGUAAUUGAACUAUUUGAAUCAUUUUAUUAUUCACGUCUAAUCCAGUAAUUCUAUAUGUGUUGAUGAAUCAUGAUCUAUGGUCCUUGAAGGGCAAUUUAUGAGAAAUAUGCAUGACUAUGAGAUAUAUGUAUAUGCUUUAUGAACACUUUGAGAGUAAAGUGAUUAUGACUAUGAUGUAAUGGUGGUUUUGUUGAAAGAAUAUUCUCACACAGACACACACUUAUGAAUUAAGAAUGAAUGAAGUUUCUAUGAUUAUGCUAAUGAUGAUGUGUUGAUUGAAAGGCUAUUCUCAAUUAUACACUUCUGAAUGAAUAUGACAUGUUGUGAAAGGUUUUCACAUAUAAUGAUGUACCUUGAAUCGGUAGGCUAAAGGCAUCCCUUUCAUGUGUAAUUAAAGAGAUAUCUUAAAUGAUAUACCUUGAAUUGGUAGGCUAAGGGCAUCCCUUUCCUGUGUAAUUAAAAGUUAUCUUGAUUAAUACACCUUGAAUUUGUAGGACAAUGGCAUCCCUUUCAUGAGUGACUAAUGAAGUAUUCUAAGGAUUUGCCUUGAAUCAGUAGACCAAUGUACCCCUUUAAUGAGGAGUCAAUGAGCUAUUCUAAUGAUGUACCUUGAACCGGUCGGCAUAUAGCAUCGCUUUCAUGAGUUAUGAUGUUAAUAGAGAAUUAACUACUCCGUGGGAAUUUAAUGCUUAGCACCAAGUGGAUAUAGUGAGGUGGAAACUCUCCCUAUGUAUUGCCGAGUUUCUAGUAACAACCUCCUUAUCCUAUAACUAUGUGCCCCCAUAGGUUAUUUAGCUAGUGGAUCCACCUAAAAGCUAAUACAUGUUAUUUUUACCUUAGGCAAGUAGGACACCUCUUUUCGGUGUAGGGCAUGACAUCAGAUUCUAUGUUAAGCUCACAUGGUCUAUGUCGGUUAUGGUUUAUUCCCACUAUGAACAGGAAGAUGAAUUAUGAACUAUGGUUACUCAAGAAGCACUACUUAGUGUGGAUGGGGGUAUGGGACUUCAUCCAUGCAUUGCACAAGUAGGCUUUGAGAGAAGUUAUGGUGUGUUCCUUUUAUGUCAUGAUGGUUUAUGAAAUGAAGUAUGAUGAAUGUAGAUUGUUGCUAAGAGUUGCUUUCCUUGAUAUGACCUUGUAAAUGUGAAGGUUUCCUUGUCUCUGAGUAUUAACUAAAGAUGAGAUCAAAGAAUGAUAAGUAUGUUUAUGGUGGCCUAAAAGUGUUACUUAGUAUAGAUGGGAUUAUGGGAUCUUUAUCUAUGUAUUGCACAAGUAUAACUUAGGGUUACUUAUGAGAUGGUUCCAUUAUGCUAUGAUGAUCUAUAUGUUGGAUAUGCUUAUGACUUAUGAUUUUAUACUAAUGUGCAUGAUGAUUCUCAAACUUAGUAAAUGCAUGCUUUUCAACUAAAAUGUCCUUUUUAGCAUGUUUUCAAGGUUUUUAUGCAUGGCUAUCAUACUUAGUGCAUUUUUGUACUAACACAUAUUUUCUACAUUUUCUACAAAGUGUAAGGUUUGGAGAUAUCGACUUCCAUCCUCGUGGCUAGGUUCAUAGUAGAUCAAGAAGAGAGGUUGUGGUGAGUCCUCAUAGCAUUUGAGAGCUUGACCACCUUGUCCUUUUAGUCUUUAUUUUAUGUUUUAGACUUUUGUAUGGGCUGUGUCCCAAAUAUUUAGUCUAACUGGUUAUAGAUAGUUUGAGACAAAGUGUAGCCUUCCGCUUGUUUCUAUAAAAGACUUCGAUUGUAAAGAAAAAGUUUUAAAUUUCCACACCAUUUCCUAUUAUCUUAUGUUAUGAUAUGCUAAGGGGCUUGUAAGAGGAUUUUCAUAGUCUUGUAUACCGUAUCACAUCUAGGGGGUAGUCCUGGUUCGUGACAAAAGAUUGAAAGGGGUAAUAGAGAGAAAGGUGGAAACCUAAGAGACAAAAAGGAGAGGUUGGGUGGGGUAAAGUGAGGAGUUGACAUAUUCCCUAUCUAACCUUCUUGUUUAUCCUUUCCUUUGUAAUGAUUCUUGCAUAGUUACAAGCAUGAAGAAUGAAGGAACACAAGUUUCCAAAAAAGAGACUACUGUUAAAGGUGUGAUGCAUGCAUUAUUAUAGUCUCAAACAUUAUUAAGGGAGUUCCAUCCCAAAGUAACAAAAAUCUUUCUUGUAUGCAUCAUCGUACAAUAGUAAACUUAGAACUUUUAAAAUUACAAAUGAAUAAAGUGUGAGUGACAAUUUGUGUUUAUCUAAGUCUAAUGUUUCUUUACCAUGUGUUGAAAAUUUACAUUUUGAGAGUGUGGAUGCACUAGUACAUCCUAUUGGUUAGCAAAUUGACUCUUUUAGUAAGAUCAAUUUCUGUUCACCUAGUGUGGACAUUUGUACUUUGAAAGUUAGUUCAUUAUUAUGUGAUAAUUAUGUUGAUCAAAUCAUUUUUGAGUGUGUUUUACUAAUUGAGGGAUCUUAUAUUGUGAUUAAUGAACCUUAAGUUGAUAAUGAUGAUAAAAUUGAUCAUAUGAAUAUGAGUGACUCUUUGAGCAUACCUUUUGUUGAAGAUCCUUUUACUUGUUUUGCUCAUAGAGAUCAUGUUCUUUAAAAUGAUAUUUGUAUUUUUAGAGUGAACCUACAUGCUUUAAUCCUCCCUUUGUGGUUGAUCAUUCUCUCUUUUAAGUACAAUAUCUUGUUUGAAUAUGAUAUCAUUUUCAAUUAAGUGCCUAGUGAUGUGAAUCAUGAUAGUAGUGUAGUUCUUGAGAGCUAUACUCUUUAUAGUAAUCCACUAUGCUGUGAAGAUAAAAAUAUAUUCUUGGAUGAUGAGAGUACUCUUAUGGGGAAGGAUUAUGAUGAGAAGGAAGGUGACAUUUGUUUUCCUAUUACCUCUUCUUCUUGGCGUGUUGCAAUUUUAGAUGGUAUAACCAAAGAUAUUGAGUCUCAUAGUAGUCUUACAUAUGAGAAGACCAUGGUUGAAUUUGUUUUGCAAGACACCUUUUUAAUCAUCUAUUUGCAUCUGAUGCUACUCAUGCUUGUGGAGAGAGUAUAUUUUAUGUUAAUAAUAGUAUCAUUAGGGCAAACGACAGUCUCUUUGACUAAUGCUAUAUUAUCCCUUCCCAUUUGACCCCGAUGUUACUCUAAAUUAUGAGAAGUAUUAUUGUAAGUUUUCCUUUCUUUCAUAUGAUUCUUACUUGGUGUUAUUCUUGAUCUUGUGUGCUUGAAUGAGAUAUUUUUUCCCAACUUUUGUGGGAAAUACAUUUGUAUUUGAACCUGAUGAGAAAUUGGGAGUAAUCCCAUUCUUAAAGUUAGUUAGUGCACUGAGUGGAAUCUUAACUUGGGUUGACCUUGCUAAUGACCUUGUACUAAGCUAUAAGAGUUUUCAUGUUCAACUUGACUUAAAAAGGGAAUUGUGUUUGUUGAAAUUUGGAACCAAUGAUGGCUUAUAUGUGUGGUUGCUUAAAUAUAAUGAUUCCUUUGAUCUACCUCUUUUGUCAAAGUCUCUGGAGUAUCCAAGUAUAUCUUUUUUUGAAGAGUUAGAAACCCUUUGUUGAUCAUUUUAUAUUUGGUUAUGUGUUAAAUUUGUGUUUCCUUGGCAUGGUCAUAGAAUUGUUAUUGCUAAUGCUAACACCAAUGCCAUCAUGAUCUUUUUGUUGCUUGCAUUCUAUAUGACUUUGUAGGGUUUGGUUUUGAGGAUAAAUACUUCUUAACAAAGGACGAAUGACGCAAUCCAGAUUGCAUCAAGGCCAUUCACUCAAAGUCAAGUUUCAGGAACUUCAAAGGAUGCAAGGUUUGUUCAUGAGGAUGGAUGUUCUUGUACUUGUGUUAAUGGCAAGUAGGGGAUUCCAUUUCUUGAAUGAUAACAUAUGUUAUUGGAAAAUCUCCAUUUGAGCAAUAUCAUGUCUGGAUGAUAGAUUGGACCAUGAGAUAUCCAACGAAGCGAGAAAGAGAAAGUGAAGUUGUUAUUCUCUUUGGCGAUGAAAAGGCCAUCACCAAACUCACCUUGAGAUUUCCAAAGUCCUGAGAAGGCUCGCCAACAUAUAUAUGUGGACUACCAACUUUGGUGAGAAGGAAGAAUUUUGGUGCAUCACCCAAUAGUUUGGUGCAUCUCCAAUCCCCUUCGUGGGAUUAUAUUUGGGGUCACUUUUACACCAUUUGUAAUAAUUUGCCUAAGACUACAAAUAGGUAGUUAUUUUAUUUCAUUAGGGAAAUUUUGAUGAAUAUUUAUGAAUGAUGAAUUGGAUCUCUUUUGAGAGACUUGAAAGCUUAGUGAAUCUUUUAGUAAAUUUUUUUAAAAAAUGGGGGUUUCUUGGAGAUUCAUUGUUCUUGAGGUCUUUUGUCACGACCCAAAGUACACCCUAGACAUGACAUGGCAUAUAAGACCGCAGAAGGAUCUACACAAUCCACUUAGCAUACAUCAUACAAGACAAUAGAAACAAAAGAGUUUAAAAGUACAAUUUCAAAUAAAAGAGUUUGACAAAAAGUAGGGGAAGUCUAACAUAAGUCUCAAUACCAUAUAUUACAUCAAAUGAGUGAUUGAGACGUAAACCAUACAUCACAUACAAAAUUUGAAAUGAAAAAUGACAUAAAGCAAUAAAAGAGUCUCGGUCCCUGGAACAGGAGGGCUCACCGAUCUUCAAAGUCUCUAAUACAAUUAACUAGCCACAAACAGAGGGAGAAGAUUCAACAAGCCCUACAUUACUGAAACAAUAUAGGCACAAGUAUGCAUUAGUAGAUGGAAUUUACUAAGUAUGAGGGUAAUGCAAUAAAACAUGAGACAUGAUCAUAAAGGGGACAUAACCGAAAACAUGAAAUGCAUGACCAAGUUAAAUCAUAGUAAAAUCAUUUAAAAAGAUUCAUAAAUCAUGAACAUUGUCAAUGCAUCUUUAAAUCAUAAAGGAAGCUUCAUAAAAUACUAGUAAUUAACUUAGUUCAUUUUGUGGGAAGUUUAUGAGUCCACCAAUUGGACUCAUUUAGGGCUUUAUUUUAAUAGAAAUUGUGUCCUCAAAUGCUUAUUUUAUCUCAAUAUUUGAUGAAAACACCUAAGUUUUAGGUAUUUGAAGGAAAGAAUGGACACUACUUUAUAAAAAAAGAACAAAAAGGCUGAAAAGAACAAAAGAAAAUGAAGGCCUGAGGAUCGCCGAGUCCACUUGGUGAGUCGUCGAAGGGUCUCACUUCGCCUUUUGUUCCAGUGUGCUGAGCCCUGAAGGAAAGGAUCAAGUCGACGGAAACAGGGAGCAGUCGGUGCAUCACCGAGAUGUUCCGCGAGGCAGUACGAUGUCGCCCAAUGACCCAGAGCACGACGAUGCUGAAGGAUGGGGCAAGAUGGCGAUGAACUACAUCAAAGGGAGAAUCGCUGAGUUCAUCGACGAUUCCAACUAAUGUCGCCGAAUGAUCCGCUGUAGCACAGAUUUUUGAAAACUAUAAAUACUCGUUGAGAGUUUUAGCUUCACAGGAGAUUUUGAGUGUCAAACAAUUAUUAUAAUUUUCAUAUAGAAUAGUACUUUUUACUUUCGCUCUGAGUUUGAGAGGGUUUUGAAAACUUGAAGAAGAAAGGGUUUCAUCUCCAAGGAUAUGAACUUGGGUCUUUUGGAUUCUUCAUUCUUGGCCUGUAACAAGACUUAUAUCUUCAUACCCAUUUGAAUGCAAGAUCAUUUAGGUAUAAAUUUCUAUCUCUUGAUGUGUGGCUAAAACCCCCAACUCUUGGGGUGUAAUUUAGCGAAUAUGGGUUAAGAUAAUUGUUGGGUCUUGCUUGCUGAUAGUUUAAAUGUAGUUUAAUGGUGCUUUCCGCUAGUAGUUAUGGUUGAAUCUAAUGGAUUUGUAGUUGCAAAUACAAGUUCACUCAUGUGUUUUCGGCUUUCUCGAGAGAUAAGUCGCGAAACUAAGACCACUAGAUUAAUGGCCUAAGGAGUGGGUCGACAUGAGGCUUAGCCCGAGAGGGUGAGCCCUAGUCCCAUAUCCUAACACUCAGCUCGAGAGAGUGAGUGGGGUAAGGCAUAGGUUGGUCUUCAUGCAGCAAGUGGGUGUCCGAGAGGAACCCAUUUGAAACGGGGUAAAUUGCUCGAGAGAGAACUUAUUUCCACAUAAAGCUUAGCCUAGUCACUAUUACUCUAUAAAUUUUCUAUCGAAAGCAUGUACCCAAUACUUUAUAUUAACCCGUAUUCCGGUCACAUCCCAAGAAUCCCCCUCUCAUUUUUAGAUUUUCUUUUUAAUCUUGCAAAUUUUUUCUUACUUGUGUUAAAAUACCCAUUGUUAAUUGACACUUUUGUUGUCCCCUUUAAUUUAAAAUGUUUUUAAUCGUUAAUGUCUUUAGCUACGACUAGUUAGAACGAAAUUUUAUUUUUCUAUACAUUCUCAAAACCACUCCCUUGGGACGAUCCCACCCUUUGUUGGGUUAUUAUACUAUUGCACGAUCGUAGACACCCAAACUGUAAGACGUCGUUGAUUAUGCAAACAUCAAAAUGGAGCCGCUGCUGGGGACUGGCGUUAUUUGAGAAUUCUUAGAUCAGUAGAAUUUUUGUUCUUCUUAGUUGUAGUUUACUGAUCUAAUUUUUAGUUUUGUUUCUUCUGGUUGUGUGAAAAUUUCAGAAAGCAUGAGUAUUAAUAGUAGCAACGGUAGCCAGGUGGGCCACUAGGAUGACAUCGAUAAUCUCAACGAUCUCCAAGAGCCCAACAUCAAUAACACCCAUCUCAUGGGAGGUGUUGGAUCCAUCCGGUUACCCCCAGCCGAGGGAAAUUCAAUGUUCCACAUAACGAUCACCAUGUUGCAACUCUUGCAACUAAAGUGACUUUUCAGGGGAUUGGCUCAUGAGGAUCCUCACGAGCAUCUUCGAAAAUUUGUAGAUGUGUGUGGACCAUUCUCGUUCAAAACAUCUCUCAGGAGUCAGUCCGAUUAAGGCUAUUCCCUUUCUCAUUGAUGAGAGAGACUUGGAAGUGGCUUGCCGAGCAACCACGUGAAUCCAUCACUUUUUGGGAGGAGUUGGUGACCGCAUUUCAAGUGUGAUUUUUCCCUCCCUCGAAGAUGAUGUCACUGCGGGAUAGCAUCCAAGGCUUUAAACGUCUAGAAGGAAAGCCUUUGCAUGAAACUUAGCUAAGGUUCAAAAAGCUAGUGCUGUAAUGCCCAACCCACGGUUUGCCGGACAACGUGCUAUUGCAAUUUUUUUACCGGAGUUUGGAUUCGGUAAACAAAGGUGACACUGACUAUCUCUCACCUGGAGGCUUAAUGCAGCAGCCAUAUGCAGUAGCAACCCAACUUUUAGAUGGAAUAAUAACCAUCAACAGAGCGUGAUACACUCGCGAGGACCAAGUAUCCCCUCCCACCUUCAAGCUAUCUAAGGAGUAGAUUGAAAAAGACAAUGAGAGAGACCAGAACAUGACCAAAAUUAUAACACAACUUGACAAUCUAUCCAAAAAUGUCAUGGGGGCUGGUGCCCGUAGUGUCAACGUUGUUGGGGUCGGGUGUGCAAUUCGUUAAGAGAUGAAAUUCGAAGCCCUAUAUAACGAGGAGGUAAAUUAUCUAGCAAAUCAAGGCGGGGGCUAUCGUUCAAACUACCUAAGGCAUGGUGGUAACCAAGGCUGGAAGGAUAGAGAUCGUGAAUGGAGGGACCAAAAUCCAAACUGGAAAGAUGGGGAGAAGGAUAGAUAUGUGCCUCCCUAUGCGCGUAAGAAGCCCAAGGAUUCGGAAGGUGGUAGGUUUGAGGAUAUGCUCUCGCGUAUCCUUAACGAAGUUGAAGGGUCAGAGAAAAUGCUGUAGGGCAUAAAAGAAGAUGUUUCUACCCUUAGCCAGACCGUCACCUCCCAUUCUGUUUCAACCAAGUAGUUGGAGACCCAGAUGGGUCAUAUCUCGUCUCACCUAAAUCCGAGAAAACAAAGGGGUUUGCCUAGUAAUACUAUCGCUAACCCCAAGAGCGAGGUUUGAAGGUGGACUUCCGUCGUACAACGACGUUAACUAAGGCGUUGUUUGGGAGGCAACCCACAACCCAUUUAAUUUCUUUUCCUUAUUUCUUGGUAAAAUAAUGGUGCGUGGUUUGUACAGGUUAAAGUAUGAGAAGUGUUCGAAAAAGUGAAGGAUGGCAAGCAAUAGAUCAAGUCAGCGUGUCGCUGAAGGGGUCGGCGAAUCCGACCUUUUCAGCUGUUUCACUCAAGAUAUCGUCAACAUUGGAGUCUGUAAAAUUCGGCAAUCUUUGGAAAGUAUUGGCAACUUAUCGACCGUAUCGGCGAUCACGAUGGAAAUCGCCGUUUGGACCCCACAAUAAACCAGAGGUUCUGUAAAUUUCGGCGAAGAAACUAAACAAUCGGUGUUCCGCCGAGUGAGUAGGCGAGCUUGACUAAUGUCGCUGAUUGGGCGAAAACUAGACGGUUUUUGCAAGCCAAAGGUUUAAAAGUUUCAACUUCAUUCCCUUUCCCUCACUUUUCAUCUCUCCAAACUCACACUUGCACUCUAGUUUUUAUAUUUCUUGCACUUUUGAAGUAUUUUGGUUCAUUGAAUUGUGCGCGGAUUUGGAUUGCAUUGCCGCCUAGCUUCUCGGUAGCAUUUCAAUUAGUACAAAAGGUUAGCUUCUUAAUACCCAUAAUUAUUUUGUUAGCAUUGUACUCAUUUGAAUACUCUUUGACAUUGUUAAAAUAUGUUGAACCUCCCUGAUUGGAUAUAAUUGGUUAAGUUCGAUUGUUAUUCGAUAAUCUUGCUUAAACUGUGAAAUCUUGCUCUCCGAUGUAUCUAGUUGAGUUAAUGUGUGAUGGGUGGUAUUCGUAUGUUAUGGGUCUUGGUUAAAUUUGUGUUAUUUGUGCUUAAAUUGUGUUUUCAGGGGUUGCGGGGUCAAUUUUGAAAAGUUGGGUCAAAAGUAGGCACGAUAGGUGAUUCGGCGAGCUGUGACGAGCUCACUGAAACACUCCGCGGUUUGCCUAAGUACCCCAUCUCGCCUUUACUAUCAUGCUUUAUUUGUUGUGGCUGCUUUAACUUUCGGUGUGAAGCACAGGAUCACCAAGUGCACUUGGUGACUCUCCUAAUGACACCUUAAUCGCCCUUUGUUUGCACCGCUAACUCCUUCUGCACUGUGACCUCCGGCGGAUUGUCUGAGGCUUGCCGAAUGGACUAUCUAGUCUUUCUGCAGCUGAAAGUCUUUGUUUUGGUUGUCAAAUAUGUUCUAACAUUUUCUCAAGACUUAGAUGACAUGGCCAGACCAAAAGUGUUAGGAAGAAACAUGCCACCCAGACACAUAAGAGCACAAUAGUUCAGAAGAACUGAAAGGAGUGACAACAAGAUAGUCAAUUCGAGGAGGAGGAUCCCCAUCGAACCUAAUAUCCCUUCGUAGGCUCGAGGGUUCAGUAAUGCGAUACAAGUCUUCAUGGCAGCUCACGAGUUGGACAAUAUGAUCGAGGCUAAUAUCGCUGCAGAAGCUGAGGCAGAGCGAAAAGAAAAAGAGAACCAGAAUGACAACACUCCGGGCACUGAUGCCCAGACAGAUGGAGCGACUGCUUAGACAUGAUCCUUUCUUUACCUCCUUCUCUAUUUUUCUUUAUUCUAAAUUCUGGAUAUUCUGUUAUUUGCAUUUGAGGACAAAUGAUGUUUAUUUGUGGUGGGGUGAGGGCCACAUUUGUGUGCUAUUUGCGAUUUGUGUUGUGUAGAUAUUUGGGUUGUAUGUUUAUAAAUUGUGUUUACACUGCUUUCUGUGGAUGUUUGAGCUCAUGGUUCCUUUUGUUUUAACUUACAAAACGAUUUUGACCCUUCCAAAUUUUUUUGAAUUUUUCGCACAUUUUUUCCACCUCUCAUGUGUUGAAUGUGGCAGUUCUUUUGCAAAAAAUUGAGUCUCGGUUUCGAUCAAUACUGAUGAAUUGAAUAGUGCUUACAAUCGAACGAACAUGAAUGCGUGGCUACCACGAGGCCACAUGAAGUUGCAUAGAGAAUAUGUGAACUCUUUGCAUCUCGUUGUGAUUAGCCAUUUAUCAAAUUGAGUCUCUUGUGAUGACCGUUGCACACUAGCAAAAGUGUGGAGUCUUGUUUGACUAUAGUGUCGAUGCGUUGUGUGAUGAGCUUACUUUGAACCAUGCAUGAAUACACCGAGAAUUUGCCCCGUUAAUCCAGUUGAUUAAGUAAGACUUGGUCUUGAGAUGAUCUUAGGCAACUUUAAAGAGUGUGAGCAAAUUUGACGUAUACCUCUUUUGUGGCCUACCCGUGAGUGUGUGAACCUCGCUUGAACACCCCUUGAGCCUUAACCUUCCUUGGAAAAAACUGGAUGAAGACUAUACCUUUAUAGAUCCAUCUCCCUUAAUCCUCAUGAUUGUUGGUUUGAUUGAAAUAGCCAACUUAGGCCUAAGUUGGGGGUGUGGUGAAAGAAAAAGAAAAAGUCAAGAUGAGCAAGGAAAGUCUCCCUUAACCCAUGGUGUUGCGAAAAAUAAAAACCCUCCAUAUAUAAAAAAAAGAAAAAGAGAAAAGAAAAGAAAUGAAAAAGAAUGUUGUGGAAUAAAUUACAAAAGAAAUUGGGUUUCCAACACACCAUGGGAAAGUGAAUAAUGGGAUGACUAAUGAAUACUAAAGAGCAAGAUCAAGGAGAAAAAAAGAAAGUGUUAAAGAUACCACAUUUCAUGAGGAUCGUAGUCACUGAGCCCAAAUGACCAUACAUUUUCACUCAACCCCAUUACAAGCCUUGUAAAGACCUUUUUGAUCAUGAGAAAGCUGAAAUGAAUGUUGACUGGAAAAUACGGGCAAACCUAUGGGUGAAAGCAUUCAUUGUGUUCCUCUUUGUGAGAGUGAGCGCUGUAUCCGAUUCUUGAACUUUAAUUGAUUAUACUUUUGUGUGUGAGAAUGGAAUCAUCAUUUGUGUGAGGGCACCGUAAUGCUUUUGUUGAGCUUGAACUUGCAUUUGAAGCAAGUAUUGCGAGCUUGAGAAUCUUUGGUAAUGGUGUGUCACAACUUGAAUCUUUGUGUACACAAUUGAUCCUUGCAUAAGUAAUUUGAGUUUUGUUGUGUACACUCAUGAUUGAAUAUUGUAUAGCACUGUUUGAGACAUCCUUAUUAAACUGUUGAACUUGAGUUUUACUUGAGGACAAACAAAAGUUUAAGUUAGGGUCUUUGGCCUAGUGAUGAGUCCACAAAUUGGACUCAUUUAGGGCUUUAUUUUAAUAGAUAUUGUUUCCUCAAAUACUUAUAUUAUCUCAAUAUCUGAUGAAAACACGUAAGUAUUAGGUAUUUGAAGUUUGAAGAAAAGCAUGGACACUACUUCGCAAAAAGGAACAAAACGGCUGAAAAGAACGAAGAAAAUGAAGGCCUGAGGAUCGCCGAGUCCACUUGGCGAGUCACCGAAGGGACUCACUUCGCCUUUUUUUCCAGUGUGCUGAGCCUUGAAGGAAAAGAUCAAGUCGGCGAAAAAACGGAGUAGUCGGUGGAUCACCGAGAUGUUCCGCAAGGCAGUACUAUGUCGCCCAAUGACCCAGAGCACGACGAUGCUGAAGGAUAAUUCAAGACGGCGAUGAACUACAUCAAGGGGCGAAUCACCAAGUUGAUCGGCUGUUCUGACUAAUGUCGCCGAAUGAUCCGGUGCACCACAAUUUUUUGAAAACUAUAAAUACUUGUUGAGAGUUUUAUCUUAACAUGAGAUUUUGAGUGUCAAACAAUUAUUAUAAUUUUCAUAUAGAAAAGUAGUUUUUAUUUUUGCUUUGAGUUUGAGAGGGUUUUGAAAACUUAAAGAAGAAAAUGGUUUCAUCUCCAAGGAUUUUCGACUUGGGUCUUUUGGAUUCUUCAUUCAUGGCCUGUAACAAGACUUAUAUCUUCAUACCCAUUUGAAUGCAAGUUCAUUUAUGUAUAAAUUUCUAUCUCUUGAUGUGUGGCUAAAAACCCAAUUCUUGGGGUGUGAUUUAGUGAAUAUGGGUUAAAUAAUUGUUGGGUCUUGCUUGCUGAUAGUUUAAAUGUAGUUUAAUGGUGAUUUCGUCUAGUAGUUGUGGUUGAAUCUAGUGGAUUUGUAGUUGCAAAUAAAAGUUCACUCAUGUGUUUUCGCCUUGCUCGAGAGAGAAGUUGCGAAAACAAGACCACUAGAUUAAUGGCCUAAGGAGUGGGUUGACAUGAUGCUCAGCCCGAAAGGGUGAGCCCUACUCCCGUAUCCUAACACUCAGCUCGAUAGACGUAGUGGGGUAAGGUGUAGGCUGGUUUUCAUGCGGAAAGUGGGUAUCCAAGAGGAACCCAUUUGAAACGGGGUAAGUUGCUCGAGAGAGAACUUAUUUCCGCAUAAAGCUUAGCCUAGUCACUAUUACUCUAUAAAUUUUCUAUUGAAAGAAUGCAUCCAUUACUUUAGAUUAACCCGUAUUCCGGUCACAUCCCAAGAAUCCCCCUCUCAUUGUUAGAUUUUCUUGUUAAUCUUGCCAAUUUUUACUUGUGUCAAAACCCCCAUUGUUAAUUGACACUUUUGUGUCCCCUUUAAUUUACAAUGUUUUUAAUCGUUAAUGUCUUUAGCUACGACUAGUUAGAAAGAUAUUUUAUUUUUCUAUAAAUUCUCAAAACCACUACCUUGGGACGAUCCCAACCCAUGGUUGGGUUAUUAUGGUAUUGCACGAUCGUAGACACGCGAACUGUAAGACGUGUCGUUGAUUACACAAACAUCUAACGUUUACCAUUAACUGACAUAUAGACCAUGCGAGCUUUAACAUAGGAUCCACUGUCUGCCCCACAUUGAAAAGGAGUGUCCUCACUUGCCAAGGUAAGGAUAUGAGCUAAAGAUGAUCCACUAGCAAAUGUCUAUCUAAGAAAAUCAUCCUAUGGUGGCACGUAGUUAUGGGACAUUGGUAUUCACGGCUAGUCCACUCGGUUCUAAGGAUAAAACCCACGGAAUACUCAUUAAUCUUAUUCAGUUUUAUCAUCCAUGGAAAAGUACUAUUAUGAUACUAAUCCAAUCUAGAAACAUCAUAAGGUAGCUCCUUGGACUAUGCAUGAGAAAACCUUUCACCAUCCACGUAACGACUCGAAAAAUGAUAGGAUGAACUAAAGCCUUGACAUUUGGGUUAUUACGACUUUGAGUAGAAGUAUGGGCUGUUUUAGUACCUUAAUGGGGGUGAGGAUGAAGUCUAGGGUUCAAGUAAGGACCUAGGCAAACAAGUUAGGGUGAAGGAAGUCAUGUUCUUUAAUGGGCCUUUUGGCGAUGGGGCUGUUUGGUCGCCCAAUGAGAUGGGCGAGUCGCCCAAUGACCCCCCACUUCGCCUAGUGGACUGCCCACUUAGUGAGCCUACUGGAAAAAAGGGCAAACUAGGUGCAUGAUCGCCAAGAUGGUUGGCGUGUCACCAUUUUCCCCUUCCAAUCGCCCAUUGGUCAUCCCUUUUGAUUAAGCCCUGGAGCAAAGGGCGGACUAAGUGUGCAUUUGGCGAAUCGCCUAGUGCACUUCACGAUCCCAAGUGUCAAAUAGGCGAACUAAAAUGGGUAAGGGCUGAAAUCUUAAGUUGUAACUUGUAGGGUCAACUUCAAAUGAUGAUAUCUCUUAGCUCAACACGAAUUAGGUGGGAAAUUACCUACCCAAUUAACGGUCUAUGAGUCCUCUUUCUAAUGCCACCGAGUUUGCCCAAUUCCGAUCUCGGAGUAAAAAGUUAGGCCCAAAUUAGUGAAGCACUGUCAAAAUGGGUGAGGCAAGGGGUGCAAAAGGCGGUCUUAGACGGGUUUGGUGCAAAAUUUUAAGUUUAAACUUUGUGGGUCUUUAAUUCUUUUCUAAGUUGAGUCCCUAUUAUUUUAUUCCUUUCCCUACAUGUAUAAAACCCUUUUAAGACCUAAACCCUUUCAUUUUAGUCCCUCCAAAUAGAAUUAAAGGAAAACGCAUCUCCUCUCAAAUUUUCUCUCACUAGAAACCCUACAUUAGAGAAGAAGAAGAAGAAGAAGAAGAAGAAGAAGAAGAAGAAGAAGAAGAAGAAGAAGAAGAAGAAGAAGAAGAAGAAGAAGAAGAAGAAGAAGAAGAAGAAGAAGAAGAAGAAGAAGAAGAAGAAGAAGAAGAAGAAGAAGAAGAAGAAGAAGAAGAAGAAGAAGAAGAAGAAGAAGAAGAAGAAGAAGAAGAAGAAGAAGAAGAAGAAGAAGAAGAAGAAGAAGAAGAAGAAGAAGAAGAAGAAGAAGAAGAAGAAGAAGAAGAAGAAGAAGAAGAAGAAGAAGAAGAAGAAGAAGAAGAAGAAGAAGAAGAAGAAGAAGAAGAAGAAGAAGAAGAAGAAGAAGAAGAAGAAGAAGAAGAAGAAGAAGAAGAAGAAGAAGAAGAAGAAGAAGAAGAAGAAGAAGAAGAAGAAGAAGAAGAAGAAGAAGAAGAAGAAGGGAGCAAUAGAGGCUAGGGUUUGGCAAUUUCAAGGUCGUUUCUUCUCAAAUUUCUUGUGUAUUCUUCGGAUUAAGGUAUGGUAGCUCUUUAUCUAGGGUUAUCUUUCACCCUAGAGUCCUAUCAAAGUGUUUCUCAAAGCUUGCAAAACUUCAAAAACUAGAUCUUUCACUUUUCAACAUGGGUUCAAACUUUUUUUUUUUAAAAAUUCCUUUAUUAUGAAGUAAUGUGGCUGUAUUGAUGUUGAAUGGUGGUUUUAUGAAAAACCCUCUCAAAGAACCUAUGUUUUCCUAAAGUCUUUAAUGGUGCCCUAAGAAGUGGGUUUGUGGAUUGUUCAAACAUGUGAUUAUGAGAUGCUUAAAUUGAAUGAGUUUAUUGAAGUAAUAUGAUUAUGCAUGCCUAAUUAUGAAGAAUUGUUGGUAUGUGGUGAUGUAUUGAUUAUGGCCUUGUAAGGCAAAUUCAUGAUUUAUCUUAUGUUGAUAUAGAAGUGUGAUCUAUUGAUGUGUGAUCCACUUAUGGUGGAGGUGGUUACUUCCUGUGUACAUAGUGGUAAUUAAAUUGAUAGAAGUCUUCUUAUUAUCCUAAUUGUAAAGAAUAGAUGCAUGGAUGUGAUAGGAAAAGUGUAAGUAUCAACAUGAUGUGAAGAAUGUGUCUGUGAUUUUGCCUAGAAUGCAGGUGUGCUAGUAUUGAAAGGACAUUCUCAAUUAUGCACUUAUGAAUGAAGUUGUUUGAAUGUGGAAGAUUUUCCUCCUUUUUAAUGUAUCUUGAAUUGGUAAACUUAGGUUUCCUUUUCUUGAAAGCAUGUAUGAAGUUAUAUGAUCAUGAAUGUUAUGAUGUGUUGAUUUGAAAGGUUAUUCUCAACUUUUCACUAAAGUAGGUUAAGGGAUUCUUAUAUGAAAGGUUAUUCUCAUGUUUGAAUCUAUGAGCUAUACUCAUGUUGGGAGAGGACGGAUGCUCAUACGAUAGUUGAGGAGGGGUAUCUAGUAGCAAUCCUUGGAGAUGGAUGCCCAUACGUUAGUUGAAGUGGGGUUAUCUAGCAACAAUCUCUAUCCCCAAAAGACUUAUGCCAGUGGAAUGAGAUCGAUACCCAUACGUUAGUUGAGGCGGGGUUAUCUAGUAACAAUCUCUUUCCUUAAUGAACAAAUGACAUGAACUACUCUAUGGGAAUGAAGGCUAAGCACUGAGAGGUCAUUGAGUGGGAUGGAUGUUCUCAUGACAGUUAAGGCAGGGUAUCUAGUAGCAAUCCCUUGUGAUGGAUACCCAUACGUUAGUUUAGGCGGGGUAUCAUGUAGUAAGAUCUUUGUCCCUUAACUAUAUGCCCACAUAGGAUAGCUAGUGGAUCCAUUAGGCUAAUCACCGAUCGACCUAGGCAAGUUGAUCACCUUUUUACGGUGUGGGGUUAUAUGACACCGGAUUCUAUUAAUUAGCUCUCAUAGUCUAUGUCAGUUAAAUGCUUAUUCCCAUCAUGUGAGGUACCCAUUAUGGUUUCUUGAGAAGUUCUAUGACGCGUGGUUAGUAGUAUGGGAUGCUAUCCAUGUAUUUGCACUAGUAGUCUUCAAGAGAGCCAUAGUGAGAAUCUGUACUUCCUAAUGAAAGAAUGCGUUCUAAAUGAACAAAUGAAGCAAGUUACCUUUAUGUCUACAAGAAUUGAUGUAUGUCUCACAUGUCUAUAUGAAAUGAUGCAUGUUUUCCAUGAUAUGAUGCAUGUCGUAAUUGACUAAAAGAUAUGAAGCAUGUUUCACUUGAGUUAGUGAUAUGAGUUGUUUAGCCUGAUAUGUUGAAUUAUAAGGAGUCUUAUCUAUGGCGGCCUAGAGGAACACUUAGGUGUGGUGUGAAGAGGUAGUAUGGGAUGCCACUUCAUAUCUUACUUAAGUGUGUCUUAGGGCUAUUAUUGAGAGGGACCCUAGGAUGAUUGAGACACCUUGCUUGAUGUAUAUGUUCGUGUAGUGUGUCUUGACAUUGAAGGAGCAUGAGGAGAAUGGAAAGUUCACCUUUGGUGGAAAUGUGAUGAUUAUGACUUGGAUGUUGGUAAUACUUGUAUUUGAUGCCUCUUAUUCUUAUGUUCAUGAAAUAUUUUGAAAUUGGUAUCAUUCAUGGUUUCCAAGACAAAAUGUCUAUUUGAGCAUGUUUUCACAUGGUCAUCAUACUUAGUAUAUUUUUGUGUACUAACUCCAUAUUUUCCUCUAUGUCUACAAGUGUAGGUUCCGGCAAGUGACUUGCUAGUUCUAGUGAAGACCUGGAUUGAGACUCCCAAGUUAGAGUGGUAUGUCCUCAUCAUUCGGGGACACAUUUUAGAAGCUUUAUGUUUUGCUCUACUUUUUCGUAUUAGACUCUUUCUAGACUUUUGAAGUGUACAGGACCAUGACCCUACUUAUGUCGGUUUUUCUAAGAUUGUAUUAAGAUGGCCAUGUGAGACAAGUAGAUUUCCACUGCAAUGUUUUAAAUGUUUUGCAUGUGUUGAUUCAUAUGGUUUUAAAUAAAAUGUUAUAAUUCCGUACAAUUUCUAUUAUCUAUGCGAUGAAUGAAUGCUAUGAGGCUUGUAUGAGGCCCUUCGGGGUCGAGUUCGCCGUGUCGCAUUCGGGGCCUAGACUUGGGUCGUGACAAUCCAUGAGCUUUUUAUAAUAGCUUCUUAAGGCCCAUAAUCAUUAACUUCAUCCUAGAAUUGCACUACUACUAAUGAAAAUAGUUUUGACAGAAUGAUCUAUAAUCAUUGAUUUCAUAUUCGGAUGUCAUACUAAUCAAGACCUAAUUUAAGAAAAUAGGUUGAAAAGAUUGAGGACAAAUCUAGAUGUCAUUCAUGUUAUGGGGUCAAGCUUCAUAGAACGUAUAGAUACCUUUAUCUAUAAGCUUACUUAAAUUCAAGCUUCUUCAUAGUUUUAUAUAUGUUAGGAUUCAUAGUCAAGAAUUCAUAGAUCAAUGCAUGGGUUCACAAGAAAUUAGUUGCAAAUGGUUUGGACAUGUGAAGAGACGGAGCGCAGACGCCCCAGUGAGGAGGUGCGAGGAAAUGGUGGUAGAGGGUACGCGGAGGGGUAGAGGUAGGCCCAAGAAGUAUUGGGAAGAGGUGAUUAGACAAGACUUGGUUAGGCUUCACAUUACCGAGGACAUGACUCUAGAUAGGCAGGAGUGGAGGUCGCGUAUUAAGGUGGAAGGUUAGUAGGGUUAGCGUGUUGCCGUCCCUCGCGAGGGUAUAGGUUGUUAGCAUUUGGAGUAGUCCUAGCUGUAUUGUUGUUUACUGCGUUUCACUCCUCACAUUACUUUCUUGAUGUUAUUGUAUCUUUUUGUUGAUUAUACUACUAUCAUUUGGAUUGGUUGUUAUGUUUUAUAUAUAGCUCUCCUGUCACUUAGAUUUGAUGUUCUUGAGCUGAGGGUCUCCCGGAAACAGCCUCUCUACCUCCACGAGGUAGUGGUAAGGUCUGCGUACACUCUACCCUCCCCAGACCCCACCUAGUGGGAUUUCACUGGGUAUGUUGUUGUUGUUGAAUUGGAGAAUUGAAGAAACUCUGGGGACUCAAUGGGUGAUUGGAACCCAUUGAUUAAAAUCCCUACAUAACUUGAUUAAAGCCCUAAGAAAUGAUGAAGAAAGGAGACUUGAACUUGAAGAACCCUAGCGUCUUCUUCCUUAAUCUAGAGAGAAGAUUUUUCGAAAAGACUUUAGGAAUUUGAGCGAAUGAAUAAGUUGGGGGAAAUUUCUAUGGGUGCAGAAUAUUUAUAAGGCUUAGAUUUAGGGGUACAACGACGUAGUAUAAGGUUUAAAAGAUUAUAGAAAAGACCCAAAAGCCUCUACAAAUUAACUGUCGACCACCAUCUACGGUUGGACUUACCGUACUGGUCAACUGUAGAAAGUGAUCAGAGACUCUAGAUUUGGCCAACAAUCAAUGGAACCCAUGUAGGACUCGUAGGUAUUUCUACGGAACAUACACACUAACCACAGAAACCAACUUUACGACUUAAAAUUUCAUCAAGUCUGGGGUCACCUACGAGACCUACCUAAAACUUGUCAAAGGAAUGACGAACCGUCCUAUUGUACUGUCAAAAGGGUACUGGGACUUAUUUUGAAAAAUUAAUUUUCCCCUACCUACGGUUGCCACCUACGACCCGUAGAAGCUUCUCCGGUCCGUAGAUGUGACCCCUAGAUACAGACCUCAGCCUAAAAGUUCAUUUUCUCCCUUUUCAAAUCUGAGGUGUUACAUCUUUGUAAGAGAUUUAAUGGUUGAUUCAAAUUAAUAGAUUGAGGUCUUUAGGUUCAAUAUAUUUUUCCGUUGCUGCCGAUUUUCUUUUCUUGUGUCAAUCUAUAUAUCUUUAUGAGGUGCUUGUUGAGGGAAUGUAGUUGGAGGUUUUAGAAUUUAAUAUAUCCUUUAGUUGUGAAUUGUUCCUUUUCUUGUAUCUCUUCUUAUAUAUCCCUUUUUCCACAUAUUUUUUUUUAUUAUCAAUGGCUUUAAUUACAUCAAAAAGUGCCUAGGUUUAUAGGAGUCCCUUUUUACGUCCCUAUGUUCCCCCUCUGUGGCAACAUGGGGGAACAAAAAAGAAAGAGAGGAAUGAGGUUUUUCUUUAUGUUGGCAUAGGAAACCAGGGGGAGGCUCAUUCGAUAAAAUUUUAGCUCAGUGGUCGAGCACACCCUUGAUAAUUUCAUUUUUGUGUCUGAGCUAUGUGGGCUCUCAGCCACAUGAAAAUUCAAUGUAACUAUCGGUGCCUAACCUUGAGAUGUGAAUCACUCGAGGCAUAUUAGCAUGACUAUCUCCUUCUAUUUGAACUAGAGUUUGAAACAUAACUCCUCAUAUUCAAUAAGAAGGUGACUAAAUGAGACUUCCAAUUUGUCAUCAAUGACUUCCAAUUUAAACUAGCAUGUUAGAAAUUUAGGUUCCUAGACACUUUUGCUCGUACUAUGAUAGUAAAAUAACAUUUUAACACAUAUAUAAGUUCGAUUUAAGAAUGGCAGAUAGUGAAAUUCUAGUAAUAGACAAUGAAAUUUUGAUAGUAUGUCUUUUCCAUGCCACAAGUAUCUAUCAACAUGAUUAGAGGUUCUACAUAUCUAACAUUAGAACACAACAAACAUGUGUACCCUGCACUCGCAUUCACACACACGAAUAUAUAUAUAUAUAUAUAUAUAUAUAUAUAUAUAUAUAUAUAUAUAUAUAUAUAUAUAUAUAUAUAUAUAUAUAUAUAUAUAUAUAUAUAUAUAUAUAUAUAUAUAUAUAUAUAUAUAUAUAUAUAUAUAUAUAUAUAUAUAUAUAUAUAUAUAUAUAUAUAUAUAUAUAUAUAUAUAUAUAUAUAUAUAUAUAUAUAUAUAUAUAUAUAUAUAUAUAUAUAUAUAUAUAUAUAUAUAUAUAUAUAUAUAUAUAUAUAUAUAUAUAUAUAUAUAUAUAUAUAUAUAUAUAUAUAUAUAUAUAUAUAUAUAUAUAUAUAUAUAUAUAUAUAUAUAUAUAUAUAUAUAUAUAUAUAUAUAUAUAUAUAUAUAUAUAUAUAUAUAUAUAUAUAUAUAUAUAUAUAUAUAUAUAUAUAUAUAUAUAUAUAUAUAUAUAUAUAUAUAUAUAUAUAUAUAUAUAUAUAUAUAUAUAUAUAUAUAUAUAUAUAUAUAUAUAUAUAUAUAUAUAUAUAUAUAUAUAUAUAUAUAUAUAUAUAUAUAUAUAUAUAUAUAUAUAUAUAUAUAUAUAUAUAUAUAUAUAUAUAUAUAUAUAUAUAUAUAUAUAUAUAUAUAUAUAUAUAUAUAUAUAUAUAUAUAUAUAUAUAUAUAUAUAUAUAUAUAUAUAUAUAUAUAUAUAUAUAUAUAUAUAUAUAUAUAUAUAUAUAUAUAUAUAUAUAUAUAUAUAUAUAUAUAUAUAUAUAUAUAUAUAUAUAUAUAUAUAUAUAUAUAUAUAUAUAUAUAUAUAUAUAUAUAUAUAUAUAUAUAUAUAUAUAUAUAUAUAUAUAUAUAUAUAUAUAUAUAUAUAUAUAUAUAUAUAUAUAUAUAUAUAUAUAUAUAUAUAUAUAUAUAUAUAUAUGUAUGUAUCAAUCUUUAUAAACUUCACUUGAAUUUGGAAAUUAAAAAGUCAUAAUGAAAUUAAAUAUUUUCUAUGAUAGUGUAAUCAAAAUAGACUACCAGCAUGCUACUUCUUACUGUAAUGACUUGUCCUGGUUAUUAUGACUUAAAAGGAAUUAGGUCACGCCAGUGUCAAACAGAAUAUGUGCUACGGACGAUCUAGGGCCAUCCUGGAAUGGGUGGGGUAAAUGUAUAGACUUGGUUGUCAUUUUCUUGUAGACAAUAUAUUAAGGAACUUGUAGGGAUUCACCGAAUCUAAUUCAGGGGAGUAUAACUCCGAGAAUCGAUUAUGACGUGAAAGGGGACAGUUCAGACCGUUAAGGGAAGGAGGUCUGUUAUGAAAAAUAAAAUCUCAGAGAUUUUUUGAGUCUCUAAAAUUCACACGGUCCACUAUAGAGUGGGGCGUCCUCUAAGUUCCGCUAUAGCUGGGUUGCUAUUGCGGCUGGGCUGCUAAAGCAGGGAAAAUUGGGAUUUAUGCAGAAACAACCCCAAAACAUCCUUUUUCUGUACUUUUGUUCUUGAACUUAGUAGGGGCCUGGUUGCAUUCAAUUUCCCAUGAAAUUUUUUGGUAAAGGUAAGAUUGUUACUCCCCAACUUUGUAUAUUGAUUCUUAAGUCUUAAAAUUUAAGAUAUUACUCUUGAGGGAGGGUUUUGACAUGAUUUGAUGGUGGAAAAAGCACUAAGUUAGGUAGGAUGAUCAUGAAUAGGACCAGGGUUAGGAUUCGGUUAUAAUCUGAGUAUUAAUAGUCCAUUGUUGAUUGAUUGUUGUAUUUAUUUAUUAUUUUUGAUCAAGAACAAACCAACAUACUUCGAAGAGGGAAAUAUCGGUUCAUUAGAGUUCCUAAGAGGCUUGAUUCAAUGUAAGUGAUAGUUUUAUAUUUUCGAUUUAUCUAUGUAUGAAUUUCUACUGAUUGAUAGCAUCAUUUGUACGAUGCAUGGUAGGGAAAAUAUAUUGAACCAUAUAUUAUGAAAACCUGCUAAUAAUCUCAUGCAAUGAACUAGUUAUGAGACUUGUGGUUUUAAGUUUUAUGUUCAUGAUGUUUCUGAUUGUGCAUGAUUGUCUGUGUUUGACGGUUGGCUCAAGUACCAGGCAUGGUACAAAAUAUCCCCAUGUUCGGAUCGGAUACCACAUUUGGUAUAUACUAACAAUUGGCUUAAUUACCAUGCCUAGUAUAGAGAUAUACAUAUAUGGUCAGCUCGAGUACCACACUGGUAUACUAAAUAAGGAUGUACCGGGUACUAUUAUGGUACACUAUUAGAUUGAUUUUGGGUUCCAUGAUAGGACCAAGUAUGUGCUUACGAUUUCAUGAGAGAUUGGACAUUUUCAAUUUUGAUCAUGUGGGACAUGCAUCAAGAUAUUUAUUGUUUCAGGAUAUAUAACUGGUAGUCUAUAUAAAUUGAUAAUUGUUAUGUGUUUUUCUACGUUACUAUACUUUGUAAAUCACGUAAAUUCAUAUCUUGUAUUAGCCGUGUGAUCCUACUAGUAUAUUGUGGUUUAUGUACUGAUAUUGCACCUGUUCUUUCGUUGUUGAGUACAUGACAUCUUUCGACGGCUUUUCAAGACCUUAGUUAAGGGACAUCUGACUAUGAAUUUAAGGGUGAUCUUUUCUUGUCUAUCUUUGCAGACUAUGUCAUUCUUAGACUAUUGGUUUAUUGGUUUAAGUUCAGGGGUUGCAUCCCCAUGAUUUAUGUAUAAUUGUUUUAAAUAUUGAGUUAAGUUUAUGGGAACUCAAUUCUUUAGUUGUCUAAAUUAUUUUGACUAUUAGAUUGAGUUUAUAGGGACUUUAUUUUUGAAGAAACAAGAAUAUUAUUGAUAAAAUAAUAUGGAUACAAUUCUGUUCCUCCCUUGAUUCUUUUCUUUCCUAAGAUUUUUCUAUAAUUUCAUGGCUGUUAGCGGCAUAUUCUCAAACUAGGAUGAUUUAGACUUGAUCUCCAUAAUUUGAGGGUCGUAAGUGCGUAUUUCGGGAACUAGGAGUAUUUGGAAUUGAUCUCCAUGAAAGGAUUUGAUCUUCUUUUAAGUAUUUGAUUAUUAAGAAGAGUUUGGCAUAUAUUGAUAUCUUAAUGAACAUAUCAAGAGUUUAGGGGAUAUUCGAGAUCACUUUUUGAUGUCUUCAUUAUCUCUUUGUGAUAUCCAAAAAUUAAUAAGAUAUUUGUGAUAUUAGAGAUUUUGAUCUCUUUAUGAAUACCCAAGAAUUUGUGGGGAUUGAAUUUUUUAAUUGUUGAAUUAUUUCUACUUUUUUAUAUGAUGAACUUGUUUUAUAAAAUGGGUGUUGGUUUAAUUUGGUCUAUUAUUUGGUUUUCCCACCACGUGGUUUAGUGUGGGCAUCACUCAUGCCAGUCUGGGUCAUGACAAAGUUUGUAUCAGAGCCCAAUAUUUAUUAAUUUUGUUGUACCAAAAUGAGUAUAAUAGAGUCCUAUGGAAUGGUACAAAGACAUUUGUACUUUUCUGCAAGAGGCUAUAGGACUUUAGGAAAAUUAUCUCUUCUUUCUUCUUUUAUGGUAUGACUUUAUUCCAAUUGGUAUCUAGCAAUCUAAAUUGGUACCUAACCUAUUUCAUUCUUCUGUCCACAGAUGGUUGAUACCCGAUGAAAUAGUAAAAGGGUAGUAUCUCCAGCGACACAGACCACAGUUGAGCCCAUUUGGAAAAGACGUGGUCAUGGCAGAAGUAGAGUUACAUGCAGGGCAAGGGGCAUGGGAAGAGAGAGGGAAACACCUACUAGAGGUGUCGCUCAGGCUUGGAAUGUACCAUGUGAGGCGACGCCACCCCACCUCCAAAAUCAUGUGAAAAAAUGAAUAAAUAUAGAGAUUGAGGAUGAGAAUGAGGCUGAAACAGAGGUAGGACCAUAUGCAGGGUUUGCAAGUCUUCUCCCUAUGGAUGCUGGAGUGGUUAAGCAAAUGUUAGCUUUUGUGAGUGGAUUGGAAAGUACUGGCGUGACUCCCAUGGUGCAGGUUACCCAGAUUCUAGUCACUCAGAUUGUUGUUACUAUGGUCCCUAAUAUAGAUGGAGCUCGGGCCCUGAUUCUCUCUUCUGUCUACUACUUGGCCCUAUAAUGACUAGUACUGAACAUGAGAUACUGACUGAAUUCUUUAAGCUUAAGCCUCCAGUAUUCUAUGGUUCUAAGGGUGAGGAUUCUUUUAAGUCCAUCUUGGACUAUUAUGAGAGGCUACAUAAGUUGGGUAUUGUAGAGAAACAUAGGGUUGAGUGUGUGACUUUUCAGCUUCAGGGUAAGGCCAAGCAAUGAUGGAGAGAUUUCAUGGAAUGUCGAUCUUCAUCCUUGCCUUCACUGACUUGGACAUAUUUUCAUGCUUUGUUCCUAAAGAAAUAUUUUCCUCGUACCUUGAGAGAUAGAACAAAGGAUAAGUUUAUGGAUCUUGAAUAAGGAAACAUGAUUGUCGCUGCUUAUGACACAAAGUUCAAUGUUUUGUCCCGUUAUGCUACACAAUUGGCGAGUUCGGAGGAGGAGAGGAUUUACUUGUUCAUCAAAAUUUUAAAUUCUAAGUUGCAUGUUUUGUCUAUUAAAAUGACCUCUGCAAGUAGGAGCUUCAAUGAGGUAACUGAUUUGGUGAGGAAGGUAGAGGGAGUUCAACGGGAUGGAUGGGAUAAGACAUCGACUAAGAAACCCACAAAUGUGGGCAACUAUAGUGGUUCAUUUUCUAAAUGUUCUAGCCUACACGUAUUUUCAACUAGUCUGACUAAGUUAGCUAAGCCAGCUUCUAUGGGUGGUCAAGGGGCCUCUUGUGCAUAAGCCAAUAAGCCCUCACUUGACAAUGGUUGUUACCAUUGUGGUGAGUUAGGGAACUUUAAGAAAGGAUAAACUCAUAAACUGACAGCUGGUCAGGUACAACAUCAGACUAGAGUAGUGGUUCCUAUAAGUAGAAGUAUUAAUGGUAGAGGACAUCCUAAGGGUGAGCGAUGCAAUAAUAAGAAAGGUCGUGGAGGUUGAGGUAAUGGUAAUGCAGGGAAAGGUGGGACACAACUUUGAAGGGGGAUUGCAUGUAAUGAUGACAAAACCUAGUGUUACACAUUUCUGGGCAGGCCAAAGAUUGAGGCAUUAAAGGUGGUGAUAAUAAGUACUAUUAUAAUCGGAUGGAUAAUGUGUUAUUUGAUCCGGGUUCUACUUAUUCCAAUAUGUUGGUUAAUAUUUCUCUAGGGCUUGAUUUGAAUUAUGAUACGCUUGAUGCCCCUAACUAGGUUUGUUCCCCUGUUGAAGAGUUUGUACUAGUAACCUACAUGUAUUAUGAUUGUUCUGUGUUUUUUAUGGGCCUACUGACUCAGGUAGAUUUAGUCAUAUUGAAUAUGCUAGAUUUUGAUGUAAUAUUAGGUAUGACUUGGUUGUCUCCUUAUAUUGGUGUACUGAAUUCUAAAGCUAAAAUAGUGACUCUAGAGAUCUCAGGUAGGGAAAUGUUAGAGUGGGAAGAGGUGUACAUGCCUAAGCCAUUAAAUAUUAUAUCUUUCUUUCAUGAUAGCAAUUUAGUAGGGCUGGGUUGUUUGGCAUAUUUAGCUCAUCUUCGAGAUGUUAGUGCAAAGUCCCCUUCCAUUGAGUCUAUUCUAAUAAGGGAUUUUCUUGUCCUAGUUCUUCUCCUUGGGGUGCUCCGGUGUUGUUUGUUAAGAAGAAAUAUGGUAACAUGAGAAUGUGUAUAGAUUAUCGGUUGAAUAAGGUUGCCAUCCACAAUAAUUACCCUUUGCCUCAUAUAGAUGAUAUGUUUGACAAAUUGUAGGGUGCUUCUGUCUUUUCUAAGAUUCACUUACGGUUGGGAUACCAUCAGCUAAAGAUAAGACCCGAAGACAUACCUAAGACAACUUUCAAGAAAUGGUAUGGUCAUUAUGGGUUCUUGGUAAUACCAUUUGGGUUGACUAAUGCAACUACAAUAUUUAUGUGUUUGAUGAAUAGGGUGUUCUAGCCAUUCUUGGAUUCGAUUAUGAAUGUGUUUAUAGAUGAUAUCUUGAUUUACUCCAAGGGAAAAGAGGAACAUGUAGAUCACAUUCGUACUGUUCUUGGUAUCCUUGGGAAACAAAAUAUUUAAGCUAAAUUCUCUAAGUGUUAUUUCUGGCUUCCUUUACUUACCUUUAUCAAGCAUGCGGUUUCGAAAUAAUGGGAUUGUGGUAGAUCCAAAAAUUAUUGAGGUAGUUAAGAAUUGGGUUCGGCGUUGCUAUGCGACAAAAGUUAAGAGUUUCAUGGGUCUUGCUAGCUACUACCACGGGUUUGUGUAAAACUUUGCUUCUAUUGCUACACACUUGACCAAGUUAACUCAGAAGGGGGUACCAUUCGAGUGGUUAGAUAAGUGUGAAGAGAGUUUCCAAAAGCUUAAGAAUCUUUUGACUACAACGCCUAUCCUAACUUUGUCAGUGGAAGGGAAGAAUUUUGUUAUUUAUUGAUGAACUACCCCACCAAUUAUUUGAAGUUGGAAGCAGUACUGUUUGCUCUCAAAAUUUGGUGACAUUAUCUUUAUGGGGUUAAGUGUGAGAUAUUCACUUAUCAUCAUAGUCUCCAACAUGUUUUCUGUCAAAAAGGAUCUGAUUCCGAGGCAGAAAAGAUGUAUGAAGUUUCUUAAGGAUUAUGAUGUGACCAUUCAAUACCAUCCUAGUGAAGCUAAUAUGAUGACAGACGCAUUGAGCUGGAAGACAAUUAGCAUGGGAAGUUUGGCUUGCUUGGGGGUGUCUAAGCGACCGUUGUCUAGAGAGAUUUAGAAUUUAGAGUCUAAGUUCAUGCGGUUGAGUUUCUCUGAGAAAGGUGAAGUGUUAGCAAUAAUUGACGUUAAUCCUAUCUUCAUAGAGGAGAUCAAGGGUAAGCAAUUUGAGAAUAAGGAAUUGCAUAAGAUUAAAGGUAAGAUUGGUAUCUGGAGGGACCCAAGAUACCACUCGAUGAAGAUGGUGUGCUAUGUUUUAGAGGAAGAAUUUGUGCUUCUCGGGUUGGUGACUCGAUCCAAAGUGUUUUGGCAAAGUCUCAUGGUUCACAAUAUUUUAUUCAUCUAGGUGUGACUAAAAUGUAUAUGAAUUUGAUGCUUCUUUAAUGAUGGCCUAGAAUGAAGAAAUACAUUGUUGAGUAUGCUUAUAAAUAUCACAACUAUCAAUAGGUAAAGUAUUAACACCAAAAACCUGUAGGUUGGCUUUAGAAAAUGCCUAUUACUAAAUAGAAGUGGGAAAUGAUACCCAUGGAUUUCAUAGUGGGACUACCUAAGGCCUUGGGGAAGUAUGGUUCAAUUUAGCUCAUUCUUAGUAGGUUCAAAAAAUGAGUCCACUUCUUCCCGUCAGAGUGGAUUACAACUCUCAAUAGUUGGCAAAGAUUUAUGUCAAGAAAAUAGUGAGGUUGCACAGGGUACCCCUUUGUAUCAUUGCAUAUUGUGGCACUCAGUGUAUUUCAAAGUUUUGGGGUAAGUUGCAUGAGGUGUUGUGCACUCUACUUACUUUCAGUAUAACCUUCCACCCAUAGACUGGUGACCAGUCAGGGAGGACUAUUAAGGUAUUGUAACAUAUGUUUAGAGCAUGUGUGAUUGAUUUUGGGGUUCAUUGGGGCCGAUUCUUACCCUAUGUGAGUCUCCUACAAUAAUAGUUAUCACUCCAUCAUCAAUAUGGCACCAUUUGAGGCUUUAUAUGGGAGGGGAAUCUGAUAACCUAUAUGUUUUUUUGAAGCUAAGGAUGUGAAACUGUUGGGUGUUGAUAUGGUUAGGGAAACUCAAGAGAUGGCGAGGGUAAUUCAGGCUAUGUUGUUUGCAUCCUAGAGUAGGCCGAGAGAGUAUGUAGAUCACAAGGUAAGGACAUAACUUUUUCGAUUGGUGAGUAGGUUCUAUUGAAGGUAUCACCUAUGAAAGGAGUCAUGAGGUUCUGCAAGAAAGGUAAGAUCAACCCUGACUACGUUGGUCCAUUUGAGAUUCUUAACGGUUUGGGGGACAAUAGCUUACAGGUUAGCAUUGCCACCUAAAUUUUCUAGAGUUCACCUAGUUUUUCAUGUGUUUAUGAUAAAUAGGUACCAUGGGGAUGGAGACUAUAUCAUCAAAUGGAACUCAAUAGAUUUAGACAAGAAAUUUUAGUAUAAGGAGAAAUUAGUGGCGUUUCUUGAUUGAGAUGUAUGGAAGUUGAGGACCAAUGAGAUCAUGUCCGUAAGGGUUCAAUAGAAACAUCAUUUGGUUUAGGAAGCUACUUGAGAGAUACAGAGGGACGUCUAAAAUAAGUACCCUUAUUUGUUCGAGGAUUCAAGUUCUACCAUUUUUUUUAUAACUGUAGCCUAGUUUUCUCAUUUGAACUAUCGGGUACGAGCGAUGGGUAAAUUGGUAUCUAUUGUAAAGAUCCAUCCUGACUGUUAUGGCCAAUGAUGAAUGAAUUUGGACCAAAAAACUUUCUACGUAGUGACAUAAAAAUUUUAGGCUAGUCCAACGUUAGAUGAAACUGAGCUAGGCGCAGUCUAGGGCCAACUGGAAUGGGUGGGUGUAAUGUAUAGAUUUUGUUGUUAUUUUCACGUAGCCAAGACAUUAAAUAACUAGUAGGGCUUCAUGAAAUUGAAUAUGGGCGAGCAGAAUUCUCGCAAUUAAUUUCAGAGUGAAAGGGACAGUUCGAGAUGUCAAGGGAAGGAGGUAUAUUGUGAAAAAUAAGAUUUUUAGAGAUUUUUGAGUCUCUGAUGCUUUCAUAGUACUCCAUAGCGGGAGUCAUUUGCUAUAGUAGAUAUGUGCAAACUUCUAUAGAGGGGUAAGUUCUGCUAUAGUGGGUGGGGCCGCUAUAGCAGGGGGAAACAAGAUUUUAUACGGAAACAACCCUAAGACUUCUUGUUUUUUGCAUUUAUUUUCUUAAACUUGGGAGGGGCGAUUUAAGUCUUUUUGCACUCAAUUUCCCUGAGAAUGCAUUGGUAAAGUUAAUAUUGUUACUCUCCAACCUAGUACAUUGAUUCUUAAGCCUUAAAAUCUAAGAUUUUACUCUUGGGUAGGGUUUUGACAUGAUUUCAUGGUGGAAAAAACCCUAAGUUUUGGAUGAUGAUCAUGAAUUGACCUAGGGUUAGGAUUUGGUUAUAAUUUGGGUAUUAAUAGGUCAUUGUUGAUCGAUUGUUGCAUUUAUGUAACCUUUUAGUGCAAGAACAAGUCAAGACACUUCAAAGAGGGAAAACUCAAGCCCUUUAGAAUAUCCGAGAGGAUUAAUUUGAGGUAUGUGAUGUAUGUAUAUUUUAUGAUUUAUGUAUGUAUGCAUGUCUACUUUAUAGUAUUAUUUGUACAAUUCUUGGUAGGCAAAACAUACGGAACUAUAUUUAGUGACAAAAUGUGGAUAAUCUCAUGCAAUGAAUUGGUUAUGUGACUUGUAGUUUCAAGUGGUAUGUUCAUGAUGUGUAUGAUUUUCUUUGUUUAAUCGUUGGAUCAGGUAUGUAACAGCUCGGACUAUGAAAAGGUUAAAGUGGGUUUACGGUCAGGUCCACAGGUCUAAAACCAGCCAUGGACCCUCCAAGGCAGCCUAAACGGAUUGUGAAAGGGUCUACGAACCGUUUGGGGGAAGUGUCCUGGCCGUUUAAGGCAGCCCAGAAAUUGAGGCCAUCUGUAUGGCUCCCUAUACAUAAAAUGGUGAUUUAUACGGUUAGUUUAGGUUUCCAUAUAAGUCACACGUCAUCUCUUUAAGUCAGGGCUAUUUUAGUAUAUCCCUGUGUGUUUAAUACCUAAGCUAUGUCACUUUAAUCCCUAUUUUAAGCCAUAUAUAAGUGAUUUAAGUCCUAAAACUACCCAUUCUAAAUUAUUCUUUUAUAUAACAAUUUUUCUCCAAGCUUCCCAAAUUUCUCUUUAAAGCUAAGGAAGAAGAAGCUAGGGUUUUACUUCAAUAUAUCCAAUUCACCAUAGCUAUUGGGCCUUAAAUACUAAGGUAUCUUAGUAUUAACAUAUUGAGUCUGUUCUUCCAUAGGUUCCCAAGAUCUUCCAAUUUACAAGUUAGAUUCUCAAUUCAAUGUUGGGGUUUUAUUCAAUCCUCAUGGGUUCUUUUUAAUUAUGAUUCCAUUGAUUGUUUUCUAUCUUUUAAUGCAUCAAUUGAAGUAAUUACAUAUUUUAAAGUUGCAUUCAUAUGAGCCCAUGCAUGAUCUAUGAAUUUUGACUAUGAACAUAUGAUGAAGUUUAUGAACUAUGAACUAUGAACUAUGAAGUUAAAAAGAUAUGCAUGUUUUUAUGAAAUUGAUGUAAAUGAUUUAAGAAUGCUUUUAGAUGAAAGUGUUAAUGAAAUUAUGAAAGGUUUUCCCACAUGCUACUAUGAUAGAAAUUGGGAAAGGUUUUCUCACAAAAAGAUUGAUAAGCUUGAAAGGUUUUCUCACCUAAGUUGAAUCAAGAUUUAAGGAUCUAUCCUAAAUGACUUUAGCUUGGAUUGGUAACUUGAUUGUAACUUUGCAUGGAUGAUAAAUUGAGUAUGCUUAAUGAAUGUUUCGUGGGACAUUACUUAGAACCAAGAGGGAUUUUGGGAUGAAGGUUUCCGUUGAGAGUCCUUGGACCUUUAGUAGCAAUACCUAAGUUCCAGAACUAUGUGCCACCAUAGGAUAUCUUAGCUAGUGGAUCCACGUAAGAUAAAAGUUAAGGUUGUUGCCUUGACAAGGAAUGACAUCUAUUUUCAGUGUGUGAUAGACACUGGAUUCCAUGUUUUAGGUCACAUGGUCUAUGUAGUUUAAUAGUAAACUUUCCACAAUAAUGAACUAAGUUACUUUCAAAGUAUUUCACGAAGUGUUUUAAUGCGCUAAGCUUGCAUUAACCAUGAUUAUGAAUUGUGUUUUCUAAUCUUUUUUCUUAUGAUUUAGUGUGGUCAUUGCAUGUCAUGUAAAGUCAUUUUUAGCACGAUUUCAUAACUUUUAUACAUUGCUAUCAUACUUAGUACAUUUCGUAUACUGAUGCAUACUUGUGCCUACUUUGUUUCACUAAUGUAGGGUCCAACACUCCUACCUAGCACACUUGUGGCUAGCUGAUCUUUCUCUUGGCACUUGAAGAUUGGUGAUUCCUCAUGUUCCAAGACCGAGGUACUUUUAUUACUUUCCUUAUUUCAGUUUUUAAGACAUUUGUAUGUGGUAUACGGGUUAUGUCCCAACCAUUUCCUUUUGAUAUAAUAGUUGACUUGAUGAGGCUAUGUUAGACCUUCACAUUGUCAAACUCUUUUAUGAUAUGAGAAUGUUUUUUUUGAAAUCUCUAUUUCUAUUAUCUUGUAUGAUGUAUGCGAAGUGGCUUGUGUAGAGUCUUUUGUAAUUCUAUACAACAUGUUCCACCUAGGGUAUACUUUGGGUCGUGACAAACAUGGUAUUUAGAGCACAAAGUUUAGAAAGGUCCUAGAUGUCUCACAAGGCACGUCAAGUAGAUUUUGGUUCAUGAGUGUGAAGUGUGCUACAUUUAUGAAUAAGUGAUUAUAAGAUGUUUAGGAAAUUCAACUUCUUUCAUCAUUCUAAAAUAGUGUGAUAGAGUGUAAUUGUAUAUGUCUCUCUCCUAAUCCUUGUUCGAUGCUUUCUAGGAGAUGGAUCCUUAAAGAGCAUAUGUUAGAAAGAAUGAUGGUGAGAAUGUGGAACAAAAAGCUCCACAAGUUCCAGUCGACCGUUUGGUCGAGGAAGUAACUCAUGCCAAAUUAUGAGCCCUUUUUCAAGUGUUGGCUCAAGCUAUGACUGCUCAAGCUAAAAAAAAGGCUAAUGUUCCCAUGAAUUCGAAUGUGGGUACGGCAGAGCCAAUGAUAAGGGACUUCACUAGGAUGAAUCCUUUGAAAUUCCAUGGUUCUAAGGUUAAUCCCAAGAGUUCAUUAAUCAGGUUUACACGAUAGUAGGAACUAUGGGAGUCACUAUGAUUGAGAAGGUGGAGUUGGCCACUUAUUAACCUAAGGGUGUUGCUGUAGUUUGGUUUGAACAAUGGAAGGAAAAGAGGGCGGUUGAUGCAAGUCCUCUUGAUUGGGAGAAGUUUAAGGUUGCUUUUAUUGUUAGGCUCUUUCAAUUUUAGAUGAGAGAGGCAAAGGCACUUUAAUUCAUCAAUCUUCCAGGGAAUAUGAGUGUGAAAGAUUAUGCUUUGAAAUUCACUCAAUUGUCUAGGUAUUAUCCAACUAUGGUUGCCAACUCUAGCGCAAGAUUGAAUAGCUUUGUUUUGGGUUUGUCCGAAAUAGUGGUUAAGGAAUGUUGUAAGGUGAACCCCGGAGGGGUUCACGGACUAUGAAAGGGACCACAGUCUGUCACCCUCAACAUGGUUCACACCCAGCCUCAGGUGGUGGGCCACGAAUCCUUUCAUGGGCCGUGGUCCCCCUAACAGGCCGUGGGACUGCUCAUUAAAGCGAGGUAGAAGCUCACCAGACUCAGGCGUCAGACCACGGAGCCCUCCAUGGGCCAUGGUGGCACCCAUGGUUUACCCCUUCUCUGAAUCAGUACUCUUGCCAGCAGACCACGACCCACAUGACGGGCCGUGGUCCUUCUGACGGGCCGUCAUAGGGUUCAUUGUCAACCUCGUCAUAUUUUAAAUCAAUGGUCGUUUGGUCAUUUCCCGUGUGCAUUGGACACCUAAACUACAUCGUUUAACCCCUAAACUACGUCAUUUUGGUCAGUUUAGGCCUAGUAACUUAGUCAGAAUUUACCCUAAGCGAUUCAUUAACCAAAAUCAUUCAAACUUAGAGCAACAGGAGAAGAAAGGGACCUGUUUUCCCAAGAACAACCAACAGGUUUUCUUCAGUUCCAUCCCCAAAAUUGAAGGAUUUCUGCAUGGAUUUCAUCACUAGAUAUGUGGGAUUUCACUUGUGGAUUCCUUUCGUCCACUAGGUCCCUACAAUUCAGUUAGAAUCUUGAUUCCCAUAUCUUGCUUAGACCUAGGAUUUUUAUAACCUUAGAUAUUAGUGUGAUUUAGCUGUUAGAAUAUUUCUAAUCAAAUUAACAUGGUUUCAUAGAAUCGUUGCUUAGUUUUUUUACAUGAAAUUCAGAACAGUUGUGUAAAUUUUCAUAGUUCAAGAAUUACACAUGAUAGGUUAGUUAAACAGGUAUACAUGCUUCAGUUUUCGAAUGUCACAUUAUCAAUAUAUAAUUAUUACAUUAUCAGAUUUUGCAUGUCAGUAUUUUGACCUAUUUAGUAUUUAAGUAUAUCUGUCAUAAUGUGUUAUAUAAAUAAUCAGUUGGGAGUAGAGUUAACACCAAGUGGAUGAGGGUUCAGCGUACCCUCCUAGUCCCAGAACUACAUGCCUGCGUAGGUUUAUAAGUCCCCUCGGUGGGUUUCAUACUUAGUGAUCACGCCAGUCAUGCCUUUAUACCCUUGGCAAGGUAUAUUGGGUCCUUUCGAUGGAGGGUAUACAUUAGACUCCACGUUUAGCUCAUGUGAUUUUAUGUCGGUUAAUAGUAGCUCCCACAGUCAGACUCUAGUGUAUUUGACCAAGUUUUCAGUUAUAUUUUACUAUUCAGUCUCAGGAUGUUAUGUAUUUGGUCAUUUCCUUCAACUCAUUUCUUUCAAUAUAUUUCAAUAUUUCCAUCAUGUUCAGAUUAUAUCAUUUCUCCAUAUGCUUUGUUCAAUUUGUAGGUUUUGUUCAACUUUUAUCCUAUCCUGCAUACUCAGUACUUUCCAAGUAAUGACGCAUACUCUGAGCUACAUCCUUUCAU
rnacentral:lncRNA from 1 species